rnacentral:lncRNA from 1 species
AUGGGUUGCUGCCACAACAAGGAAGGGUUCAUGAAAGACAUCUGGUUGAAUGGCAGCAAUUGUUGUUGCUGUAGGAAGGUGGCCGCCAAUGGGUUAGCCAGUGCCAAUGGGUUAACCUGUAGCAGCUGUUGUUGCUGGUGGUAGGUGGCAGCGGUUGCAACAGCCGACUGAGCAAAUGGAAGUGACUGUGGCUGUUGUAGGUAUGCAGCGGCGUUCGACACAGCUAGUUGGUUGAAUGGAAGUAGCUGUUGCUGUUGAAAGUAGGCGAUAGGGUUCACCACGGACUGUUGUAACUGUUGUUGUUGUUGUAGGUAUGCAAUGGCAUUCACCGCAGCCAGUGGGUUUGUAGGAAGUAGCUGUUGCAGCUGCAAGUAGGUGGCAGGGUUUGGAAUAGCUAGUUGACUGAGCGCUGGUAGGAACUGUUGUUGUUGUAGUUGCGCUACAAUGGUCUGUACUAGUAGGUGAGCCGAGGAUUGCUGUUGCAAUUGGGCAAUUGAUUGUUGUAAGAUGCUCGCCGCGAGCACUUGUUGUAGCCGAUAGGCCUGCACAACUGGGUGUUCAUACCCAACAGCAGUAACUGGUGAGCACUGCGGAAUGAUGAACGCACUUGUAGCACUCACCGUGAGAGCAAGGAGUGCAAGGAGGGCAAAUAUCUUGGCAGCCAUUGUUUCUAAGAUGUUGCUAGUGCGUUUCACUUGGCAACUUUCUAAUUGCUCUCAAUGAUAUGGGUGGUGGAUUAGCUAUCGAUUUGGGCCAAUUUAUACAAGUGAGAGUUCAUGCAUAUCUAUUCAGAUCUCGGAGUUUACUAAAAAAUAGAUGAGCAUGAGAUGACAUGGCACCUAGUCAACUUCGGUGCUUAGUUAUCUAUUUUGUUGGAUUAUAUGGUAUGUGUUGGCAAGAUAGUGUCGAUUAUGUGCUAGGAAAAAGUGCCCUUUUCUAUAGGAGUUCUCUAGAUACACGAGGAAUGGCAUACAUGAUAACUUCACCUUUAUGCAUGACAAAGCCUUAGCCACAUCAUAUUUGUUAGACUUUAUAAACAUGAUGAGUAUGUAAAAUUAUGAUUUGCUCAUGUGAAUCGAAGCCUUUAUCAACAGAGUUUGUUGUAGCAUCGUCCUUAUGGUUGAAGUAUACAAUGUAAUUAUGUGAGAAGUUAUCAACCAGCGAAUGAUCAAUAAUGCUGCAAGGCCACGACUCAUUGAAGUCUCAGUAUGUCUAAAAUGCAUGCGCAUGCAAAGAAUCUAAAAAAUUGGCAUGCGCAUGCUCAUUACUAUCUUGGCCACUACCACAUACUCCCUUUGUUCUGGAGCACAAUUUAGUUUAUUUUUGUGUAAAAGCAAGCUUGUCUAACUUUGAAAAAGUUUUACAUUAGUUUUAACAACAAAAAUGCACUAUCAAGACAUAAUGACAUAUGCAACGAAACAAAGUGAUGUUCAAGGUUUUUGGUAAAUUUCUAUGAAAUAUGUCAAAGUUAGGUAAGAUUACCUUAGGGAAAAGAUAGAGCAAGUAAUAAAUUGGAGCGGAGGAGGUAUAUGUUGAACUCUACCUCUUGACUCAAAUAGAUGUGCAUCUAAUUUUCACUAAAGUCAAACUUAAAUUAUUUCCAUAUAGUAAGGAGAAUGAUAAAUUUGAUGCGGCUUUUGUUCCUUCCACCACCUAUGAUAUGAAUCUGCCUUCAAUAUACAGGUGAAGAGGAUAAUAGCCAACCUCGUAGCUAUUCGAAACAAAUAUCUCUUUGUGCUCAAAGGCAUAGAUCCAUUCAAGAAUAAAAACAACAUGGCCAUUGACAUAAACCUUGCUCAGCUAUGCUACAAAAACUCAAGAUAAAGGAGACUGAGAUGGGUGUUGUGUUGAUUUUUUAGGAGAAACACUAUAACAUCUGGACUUGGAAGUUUCAUGAAAACACACUCCUUCAUAUUCGUUUUCACUAGAACAAUGAGCACAUUGGUACACAUAAUUAAUUCCUUGGAGUUGACUCAAAUAUAUUUUAGAUUUUGUUUCACAUGAGUAGAAUCUCGUCCGAAAGAAUUUGGGGAACAUUGGGAUAAUAACCGUAAUCGCUAGGACUAGACAACAAGUUUAGGCUAAGGAAAUCUAAAAUGGCUGAAGACAUUUAAAAAUAAUAACUUCUAUUGACACAAAAUUAGAGUGAGACCAAUAAAAUCUUCAUGGCUUGAUUUACUAUUCCUUGUUCAUUUAUAAAGGAAUGUAUUUCAUGUUUCUACAAUAAUUUGCUUUAUGGGUGCUCACAUAGAUAUGAUAAGAUAUCUUUUCAACUUUUAUAUGACAUGCGAGUUAAGGUUACAUUGAUGACAGUGUUACAAACUACCUCUAGUAAACUAUCUUGUAGGUAAUAAACUUGUUCAUUUGUUUAGUUUUAACAUUUUAGAACAUGAACGUUUUCACAUUCAACACAUAGAUGCAAACUGCAAUCCAUUGAACUAAUCUAGGUGUCAUAAUGGCACUCUAUGUGGGUUCUCUCUGCAGAACAGCAGAAUGACGGUGGAUGGUUGGUACUUUAAUCUCGGGACAUUACUUUUGGGUUUUGAUAGCUCCACUCUAAAUCAUAUUUUACUAGGUACGGUGUCCAUCAGAAAAGAUCCUAUCUUUCAUAAUGCUACCUAGCAAAAAUGUGAGCUACAAUGUUGAGCAGUCAAUUUGACGUAGGUUUGAUGUCCCUCUGUAAAAUUGUCUCUGGCAUAUUCUUGGGAUAUUAAACUUCACGUUCAUGAUAAUUUUUUUUGGCAUCAAGUAUUAUACUUUGUUGUUAAUUGUUAAUGAUAGGGUCUAGUUGAUUUAAUGCCCUUGGCCUUGUCAAGUUCGUGGGCUCCAAUUAUUUCCUUAUUUUUCUACAAUAUUAUGGAGUCUUGCAUAAUUUUGCUCCAAGAUAAAAACAUAUGCACCAAAUAUUUACUAGAAACAAUAAUUAAGAGGUGUGACUUUGCAUAUCAACUUUGCACGCAUAUAUACGUUUACUCAUGAAUUUCUAUUAUGUUUUCCUUUGUGUACAUGUAUCUGACUUCAAAGAUAUUCGUCAAAGCAUAUGUGGCCAUGACUUUCUUAAAACAAGAUAUUGUAGAUGCAAGUACUCAACUCCACGCAAGUACUCAACUCCACGCAAGUACUCAACUCCACGCACAUACAGUCACAUCUAUAUAUCUCACAAACACCCACACACAGUACCAAAUGAGAAAAUUCAAGGGGGUUGGCUGGCACAUCUUGAUAUUGACAAUGUAAUGUCGUAUUGUCUACGUAUUAAUCAAGCAUUUGGCUGUAAUUAUGGUUCAUUUUUUAAUUGAUUAUAUACAAAGAAGAAAAUUACGGAAUAGACUCAGAUAAAUCUCAAUCAAUGUAUUGAUUAUUUGUGAGAAGUUGCACACGCUGAUACAAGAACAUUGUUAUCAAGUACAACUCUUUUGUAUUCUAGAAGAUGGCACCUCCAACGAUGGGUUGCUGCCACAACAAGGAAGGGUUCUUAAAAGACAUCUGGUUGAAUGGCAGCAAUUGUUGUUGCUGCAGGAAGGCGGCAGCCAAUGGGUUAGCCAGUGCCAAUGGGUUAACCGGUAGCAGCUGCUGUUGCUGGUGGUAGGUGGCAGCGGUUGCAACAGCCGACUGGGCAAAUGGAAGCGGUUGUGGCUGUUGCAGGUAUGCAGCGGUGUUCGGCACAGCUAGUUGGUUGAAUGGAAGUAGCUGUUGCUGUUGUAAGUAGGCGGCAGGGUUUGCCACGACUAGUUGACUGAGCGCUGGCAGGAUCUGUUGUAACUGUUGUUGUUGUGGUAGGUAUGCAAUGGCAUUCGACGCAGCCAAUGGGUUUGUAGGAAGUAGUUGUUGCAGCUGCAAGUAGGCGGUAGGGUUCGGAAUAGCUAGUUGACUGAGCACUGGUAGGAACUGUCGUUGUUGUCGUUGCGCUACAAUGGUCUGUUCUAGUAGGUGAGCCGAGGAUUGCUGUUGCAAUUGGGCAAUUGGUUGUUGUAAGAUGCUCGCCGCGAGCACCUGUUGUAGCCGAUAGGCCUGCACAACUGGGUGUUCAUACCCCGUAGCAGUAAUCGGUGAGCACUGCGGAAUGAUGAACGCAGUUGUAGCACUCACUAAGAGAGCAAGGAGUGCAAGGAGGGCAAAUAUCUUGGCAGCCAUUAUUUGCUAGUGCGUUUCACUUGGCUUGUUUCUGAUUGCUCUCAAUGAUAUGGGUUGUGGAUUAGAUAUUGAUUUGGUCCUAUUUAUAUAAGUGAGAGUUCAUGCAUAUCUAUUCAGAUCUCAGAGUUUACUAAAAAGCGGAUUAGCUUCAGAUGACAUGGCACCUAGUCAACUUCGGUGCUUAGUUAUCUAUUUUGUUGGAUUAUAUGGUAUGUGUUGGCAAGAUAGUGUCGACUAUGUGCUGUGAAAAAGUGCCCUUUUCUAUAGGAGUUCUCUAGAUACACGAGGAAUGACAUACAUGAUGACUUCACUUUUAAGCAUGACAAAGCCUUAGCCACAUCAUAUUUGUUAGACUUUAUAAACAUGAUAAGUAUGUAAAGUUAUGACUUGCUCAUGUGAAUCGAAGCCUUUAUCAAUAGACUUUGUUGUAGCAUCAUAGUUAUGGUUGAAGUAUACGUUGUAAUUAUGUGAGAAGUUGUCCAACAGCGAAUGAACAUUAAUGUUGCAAGGCCAUGGCUCAUUGAAGUCUCAGUACGUCCAAAAUGCAUGCACAUGCAAAGAAUGUAAAAAAUUUGCAUGCUCAUUACUAUCUUGGCCACUGCCACACACUCCCUUUGUUCUAGAGAACAAUUUAGUUUAUUUUUGUGUAAAAGCAAGCUUGUCUAACUUUGAAAUAGUUUUAAAUUUGUUUUAACAACAAAAAUGCACUAUCAAGACAUAUACAAUGAAGAAUUCAAUGAAACAAACUUGAUGUUCAAGGUUUUUGGUAAAUUUCUAUGAAAUAUGUCAAAGCUAGGUAAGUUUACCUUAGGGAAAAGCUAGAGCAAGUAAUAAAUUGGAGCGGAGGGGGUAUAUGUUGAACUCUACCUCUUGACUCAAAUAGAUGUGCAUCUAAUUUUCACUAAAGUCAAACUUAAAUUAUUUCCAUAUAGUAAGGAGAAUGAUAAAUUUGAUGCGGCUUUUGUUCCUUCCACCACCUAUGAUAUGAAUCUGCCUUCAAUAUACAGGUGAAGAGGAUAAUAGCCAACCUCGUAGCUAUUCGAAACAAAUAUCUCUUUGUGCUCAAAGGCAUAGAUCCAUUCAAGAAUAAAAACAACAUGGCCAUUGACAUAAACCUUGCUCAGCUAUGCUACAAAAACUCAAGAUAAAGGAGACUGAGAUGGGUGUUGUGUUGAUUUUUUAGGAGAAACACUAUAACAUCUGGACUUGGAAGUUUCAUGAAAACACACUCCUUCAUAUUCGUUUUCACUAGAACAAUGAGCACAUUGGUACACAUAAUUAAUUCCUUGGAGUUGACUCAAAUAUAUUUUAGAUUUUGUUUCACAUGAGUAGAAUCUCGUCCGAAAGAAUUUGGGGAACAUUGGGAUAAUAACCGUAAUCGCUAGGACUAGACAAUAAGUUUAGGCUAAGGAAAUCUAAAAUGGCUGAAGACAUUUAAAAAUAAUAACUUCUAUUGACACAAAAUUAGAGUGAGACCAAUAAAAUCUUCAUGGCUUGAUUUACUAUUCCUUGUUCAUUUAUAAAGGUAUAUAUUUCAUGAUACUACAAUAAUUUGCUCUAUGGGUGCUCACAUAAAUAUGAUAAGAUAUUUUUUCAACUUUUAUAUGACAUGCGAGUUAAGGUUACAUUGAUGAUAGUGUUACAAACUACCCCUAGUAAAUUAUCUUGUAGGUAAACUUGUUCAUUUGUUUAGUUUUAACAUUUUAGAACAUGAACGUUUUCACAUUCAACACUGUUGAUGGUGGUUAACGUCAACUUUCAUUAGAACUUUAAACCCAAAAGAAAACAUGAAAACACACCAGUCUAGGGUUUUAACUGACAAUUUCCACGAGUUUCGCAUAUUCUGUAUUUUCUAGGGUGAAUUUCAUGAAAGCCGAAAAGAGGGAUUCUAGUGCAAAAUAAACACGAAACUUAUCCACCACGGCAACAUCGCAAACGGGACGUGGGAAGACUCUGGAAGACACCCAAAGAGCCAGGGGGGCAGAGGCCGCCAGGUGGGGCCGGCCGGCCCCACCCUAGCGCCGGCCGGUGCCCUCUACAAGGGUUUCGGCCCCCCUUCUGGAAGCUUCCUCCAGGGCCUACGAUGAGUCAUCUUGGCCUUUGGUUAAAUCGGUUUGAUCCUGCGGCGCACGUCGAUCCAACCGGGAUAUAAAUAAAGUGGCAGACCCCCCUCCCUGAGGGCACCACAUUAUGGAGAUGUAGAGGCGUCCCUCGAAUGGAUGACCUCUCACCUCUAGAGAAUUAGGGCUAGACUUUCCAAUGUAGUAGAUUAGUUCUAGUUGAGAGUUAGCGAGAGCGGCGCUACGCCCGGGUUCUGGAGGAGUCUUCGGAGGAGUCAUCAGAGUUCUGGUAUAUCUUUGUAUCCUUGCUUUAAUAUAUUUUUUCUUCUCUAUUUACUUUUAUGCAUUACAUUUGAUUGGUUAGUAUAGUUGUUAUACUUUAGCAUAGGAUCUCCGCUCGCAUCGGGUGCUCUAAUUAUUAAUUGUGACUAGAGUAGUAGUUUGUAGUAGAGACAUGGUGUCUAGACUAUAGGUUACCUGAGAUUGCACCCAGUUCUACGGAUAGUUGUGGUAGCCCCAGGUGGUGACAGCCCUGACGGCCAACGUAUUCCACCACAUUUGGAUUGGUGUUGUAGGACCGUAGUCAGAUCAUCCUAGCCCCCUUCUCAUCUGUCUGUGGCUAAGUGCUCUGAUGUCCCGAAGUGUUAUUGUGUGAUUGCUUUACCUACCAUGAAUUAGUUAUUAUAGAACCCUAGUAAUAGAGAAGUAUUUGGGAACCUUAAACUCUCCCGUUGUUCUAUCACUUUAGCUAUCUACUCUUUUAUCAUAAGAAUUCUCGGGUGUGUGUCAUAUAUGCAUAAUUCCUAUCAUCGGUUACUUACCCCUACUUAAGUCUAGUUGGUGUAUUAGUUAGUAGAUACAUGAUGGUGAACUAUCAAUAUCUUUAUUCAUUGUUUCCCAGUGGUAAGAUAUAAAUAACGAUACCUGGAAUACUCCUAGUAAAAUGCUACAAUGGUUUUCUGCGCGCUUGCAGAAUCCUUCAUAUUUUAACUGUGCAUAAGAAAUACCAACAAACACCAAGAUGCAAACUGCAAUCCAUUGAACUAAUCUAGGUUUCAUAGUGGCACUCUAUGCGGGUUCUCUCUGUAGAACAGCGGUGGAUGGUUGGUACUUUAAUCUCAGGACAUUACUUUUGGGUUUUGAUAGCUCCACUCUAAAUCAUAUUUUACUGGGUACGGUGUCCAUCAGAAAAGAUCCCAUCUUUCAUAAUGCUACCUAGCAAAAAUGUGAGCUACAGUGUUGAGCAGUCAAUUUGACGCAGGUUUGGUGUCCCUCUGUAAAAUUGUCUCUGGCAUAUUCGUGGGAUAUUAAACUUCACGUUCAUGAUAAAUUAUUUUGGCAUCAAGUUUAAUACUUUGUUGCUAAUUGUUAAUGAUAAGGUGUAGUGUAUUUAGUGCCCUUGGCCUUGUCAAGUUCGUGGGCUCCAAUUAUUUCCUUAUUUUUCUACAAUAUUAUGGCGUCUUGCACAAUUUUGCUCCAAGAUAAAAACAUAUGCACCAAAUAUUUACUAGAAACAAUAAUUAAGAGGUAUGACUUUGCAUAUCAACUUUGCACGCAUAUAUAUGUUUACUCAUGAAUUUCUAUUAUGCUUUCCUUUGUGUACAUGUAUCUGACUUCAAAGAUAAUGGUCAAAGCAUAUGUGGCCAUGAUUUUCUUAAAACAAGAUACUAUAGAUGCAAGUACUCAACUCCAUGCACAUACAGUCACAUCUAUAUAUCUCACAAACACCCACGCACAGAACCAAAUGAGAACAUUCAAGGUUUGGCUGGCACAUCUUGAUAUUGACAAUGUAAUGUCGUAUUGUGUACGUAUUAAUAAAGCAUUUGGCUGUAAUUAUGGUUCAUUUUUAAUUGAUUAUAUACAAAGAAGAAAAUUAUGGAAUAGACUCAGAUAAAUCUCAAUCAAUGUAUUGAUUAUUUCCGAGAAGUUGCACACGCUGAUACAAGAAUAUUGUUAUCAAGUACAACUCUUUUGUAUUCUAGAAGAUGGCACCUCCAACGAUGGGUUGCUGCCACAACAAGGAAGGGUUCUUAAAAGACAUCUGGUUGAAUGGCAGCAAUUGUUGUUGCUGCAGGAAGGCGGCAGCCAAUGGGUUAGCCAGUGCCAAUGGGUUAACCGGUAGCAGCUGCUGUUGCUGGUGGUAGGUGGCAGCGGUUGCAACAGCCGACUGGGCAAAUGGAAGCGGUUGUGGCUGUUGCAGGUAUGCAGCGGUGUUCGGCACAGCUAGUUGGUUGAAUGGAAGUAGCUGUUGCUGUUGUAAGUAGGCGGCAGGGUUUGCCACGACUAGUUGACUGAGCGCUGGCAGGAUCUGUUGUAACUGUUGUUGUUGUGGUAGGUAUGCAAUGGCAUUCGACGCAGCCAAUGGGUUUGUAGGAAGUAGUUGUUGCAGCUGCAAGUAGGCGGUAGGGUUUGGAAUAGCUAGUUGACUAAACGCUGGUAGGAACUGUUGUUGUUGUAGUUGCGCUACAAUGGUCUGUACUAGUAGUUGAGCCGAGGAUUGCUGUUGCAAUUGGACAAUUGGUUGUUGUAAGAUGCUCGCCGUGAGCACCUGUUGUUGCCGAUAGGCCUGCACAAUUGGGUGUUCAUACCCCGCAGCAGUAACCGGUGAGCACUGCGGAAUGAUGAACGCACUUGUAGCACUCACUAGGAGAGCAAGGAGUGCAAGGAGGGCAAAUAUCUUGGGAGCCAUUGUUUCUAUGAUGUUGCUAGUGCGUUUCACUUGGCUUGUUUCUGAUUGCUCUCAAUGAUAUGGGUGGUGGAUUAGAUAUGGAUUUGGGCCUAUUUAUACAAGUGAGAGUUAAUGCAUAUCUAUUCAGAUCUCGGAGUUUACUAAAAAAAUGGAUGAGCUUCAAAUGACAUGGCACCUAGUCAACUUCGGUGCUUAGUUAUCUAUUUUGUUGGAUUAUAUGGUAUGUGUUGGCAAGAUAGUGUCGACUAUGUGCUGUGAAAAAGUGCCCUUUUCUAUAGGAGUUCUCUAGAUACAUGAGGAAUGACAUACAUGAUGACUUCACUUUUAUGCAUGACAAAGCCUUAGCUGCAUCAUAUUUGUUCUACUUUAUAAACAUGAUAAGCAUGUAAAGUUAUGACUUGCUCAUGUGAAUCAAAGUGUAAUGCCCUGGAUAGGAACACUACCGCCGAAGGCUUCCAACAACAUCUAAAUUUUAUUAUGUUUGCAAAUCAUUUAAAAUUUUGGCAGAGUUUCCCUAGUAUUUUGGGCAUCUAAACAGGUAAAUCACGUUACAAUGACGAUAUAAUCACCCAACAAUAUCUUGUUAAGCAUCCUAACCAACCAUUAAGCAACCUCUUGUUAAGCUAAACAUAUGUAAACUAGGUGUUUGUAUCAUGAAGGUGCUACUCCCGGUUCCCAUGCAUGCUGUUGUCAUUUGGUACCUAAAAACCAAAUAAACACAAGGGUGAGUAAAAACACUUGGUAAGUGCAAUUAGAACCGAAAGAAGAAAUUCAACGUUGUCCAUGAACAAAAUAUCAGAAUAUCCAUAGACAAUAGUUUAUGUGUGAAAUAGAUUAACUUGAAACCUUAGCAUUUACCGGUAAAGCCAAGCAAGUGGGGCCAACAUAAGAACCAAAUUGCACCUCCGGAUAAACAGGCACCAGAAUUGAAUGUAAAAGAAAUCAAGAAACUUGAACUUGAAUAUAAAAAGCAAAUUGCACAUGUGGAUCCACCGGAACAGGAAUUGAAUUUAAAGGAACAAUCGAAACUUGAAUUACAUAGCACACGUGAAACAACUAAAUCAAUUGAAAACUCAACAAUAGGCAUAAGCCCAUCCAUAGGUUCCUCAUGCACUUUCCUUAAGGGCUUGUUAAGUUUGGCGAGAAUCCAGCAUUCUUGCCACCCUCGGUAACAGCGCUUCCCAAACCUGAGGAGCAAACUGCCUUAGAAACUCAAUUAAACCUCUCAGUCGAACCCUAAUAUGUGAAUUCUCAUAUUUUUAGAAGACCCAAUAAAAUUUGAGUUCCUCGCUGCUUUGACCAUAACUCUCAAUUCUGUUAUCCAAAUUCAGCAAAUAAAUACAUGUCAGACAUGUACAGAAAAUUUUCUAUAAUUUGGUUUAGAAAUCCAGGACCAAUUCUGUCUCUGAAUACCUCGAAAAUAGAUCCCCAUUAGUCUAACGUUUUCUAUUCCUCCUCUUUCUUGCCUGUCACACCCCUCGCCGCCAACGCUUACGCCGUCGACGUGAGCGAUUAAGAGAUACAGAUCGGGCGAGGAACGCCGGCGAGGAAUCUUCCUCUGCCUUGCGUGUUCUAUUUUUCAAUGUCUGGAUGAUUGUUCCCCUCCACGGGUUGGGCACUUAUGUGCCAGAUACAGAGUUGGCCUUGGGCCCACAAGUCAUACACUAGAAUUGAAAACGUAAAACACAGCUACACUUCUUCUAUGCGAUGGUGUCUUCUUGGUAUUCUCUUUCUGCUAUUUCCCUUUGCCUCCGCGACGACAGUGGCCUCCCAGGAUCUACGCGCCAGCAGUAGCUAGCUAGCCUUGCUACUUCCCAGCAGCUUCACGUACUUAGCAGCACCAAGAUUAGAUGAAAGCAACUCACGGGAAAACAAUAACUAAAGUAGCAACUGAGAUACAGAAGCAAGGAUGCCUUUCUUUUUAUGAUCUAAAUUUAACGGUGGUUCCUCCUAAAUUCAUCCAACCUCCAGACAAAACAUGUUAGUAGUAAAAUGAAUUCGCUUCGACGAGAUCCACACAACCACGCACGGUGUCCGAUCGUCCAUAAGAUUCCCGGUUCAAAUACUCAAAAUUUGAUCAUCUCAUAGUGUCCGUUCGGUCAACUUAUUAAUUUUGUUUUGAAAAAUUCGGGAUAUUACACAAUGCCUUUAUCAACGGACUUUGUUGUAGCAUUGUAGAUCGUACUCAUCAUGGUUGAAGUAUAUACAGUAACUUCUUUUUAAAUUUGAGGAGACCUCCACCGGCUAUAGUGCAGUGUCUAUAUUGUAUUUCGGUUCCUCGUAUAUUACCAAAUUAUAUGUAGAUUGAUGGUUUGAGACUCUAAACAAUUUGAAAUCAAAAAGUUGUCAAGUCAACUAUAAAGUUUUAUAACUUUUAGAGAUCUAUAAUUUUUAUUUAGGGAGUUUCUCCAUCCGAGAUCGUUUACAAAAUUUGAAUUUCAAAUUUGAGAAAUUCAAACGUAGUUUUUGCAUGAUAAGAUGUUUUCAAAUGAAAAAUUUGUCAACUACAAAGUUUCAUAACUUUUUGAUAUCUACAAAGGUUACUUAGGGAGUUUUUUCAUCCGAGGUCAUUUGAAAAAUUCAAAUUUUCAAUUUUCAAAUAAAGACGCAGUUUUGCAUGACAAGAUGAACUCAAAUGAAAAAGUUGAUAACUACAAAGUUUCAUAACUUGCCGAUAUCUACAAAGUUUAUUUAGAGAGUUUUCCCAUCUGAGGUCAUUUCAAAAAUUUGAAUUUUAAAAUUUUUAAAUAAAUACAUAGUUUUGCAUGAGAAGAUGAACUCAAAUGGAAAAGUUGUCAACUACAAAAUUUCAUAACUUCUUAAGAUCUACAAUGUUUAUUAUAGUUGUUUGAUCAUUUGUUCAACCAACAUGGUGAUUCUAACAUUUUUCACAAAACUUAUAUAUCUCUCUUGCAGUUUCAUAAACUAUAAGAAAGAUAUGUAAAAUUUGUGAAUAAAUUUAUUUUUUUCACUUUGUCAAAUGAUAAAAUGAGAAAAAUAAAGGUUGUAGAUCUUGAGAAGUUAUACAACUUUGUAAUUGAAAACUUUUUGAUUUAAAUUCGUUUAGGGCUUCAAAAUUCGAUUUGAAAUUUUCUUUACCGAGUAUUUUUUUUUACACUCGGCAAAGAAGGUCUUCACCAAGUGUUAGAAAAAAAAACACUUGACAAAGAGGCUUCUUUGCCGAGUGUAAAAGAACACUCGGCAAAGAAAGUCUUUGCCUAGUGUUAAAAAAAAAACACUCAACAAAGAGGCUUCUUUGCCGAGUAUAAACAAAACACUCGGAAAAGAGCCAAAUUCCGGUAGUGAAUUGAAGUCCCAGUACGUAUAAAAUGCAUGCACACACAUAUAAUAUAAGAAAUUGGAAUGCUUAUUACUAUCUUUGGCCACUCCCACACACUCCCUUUUCUGGAUUAGAAUUCACUUUAUUUUUUGUCUAAAAUCAAAAGCUUGUGUAACUUUGAAAAAUGUUUUAAAUAAAUCUUGACAACAAAAAUUGCACUAUCAAGAGCACAACGUUCAAUGGCAUCUCGACGAAUCUGGUGGUAUACAUGGAGACCGUCCUCCAUGGCAGCAACCAUGGCAGUGCAUGCAUGCCUCCUCACCACGUGGUACGGCACCAGCUAUAAGCCUAUAUAUACCUCACGCCCAUCUUUCUUCAGCUGGUUCUACCUCUGCGUCGACUUCGGCCCCAUCGUGUCCGGCCGGUCUCCUCAUCGUGUGCAACGUUAGCUGGGGGCCUCGGCUUCGGCAUCGCCACGGCCUGCAUCGCGCUAGCCUUCCUGCUGCGCCUGCUGCCCCAUCUGGGUGACCAGCGUCAUCGUGUCCUCGACGUACACGCAGAUGUAUACCACCUUCGUCCAAAUUUGUAGUGGUUUUUGAUGUAAAUGUAACAGUGUAACACAGAGUAUAAAGUAUAAACCGUAGUUCUUUACCUACUGGUUCCCGUUCCCAUGUCCAAUCCCUGAUCAACGAGGACUCCAGCUCGGCUGCUCGAGACAACUGAUCGAUCGAUUCCGAAAAGGAAGAGCAGACUCCGUGGAUUCUAACCGGAUUAGCUAGACGAUCAACUCGAACUAUGCAAAUCCUUAGGAGUAGUAUAUAACCAGACGAUGCACGCCGUGGGAUUAAUUUACAACCGCAAGAUAGGAAGCUAGUUUUCAGCAGCCAUAUAGCUAGUUGCAGUACACGUUCUCCCUUGCCAAAAGCAACAAGAAGCAUCGCGGCAAUUCUAUCGAUCGGGCACGUACGCCGGAUGGCAGCUGCUGACGCGAUGGCCGGAGCGGCGGCUACAGACGACGAUGGAGCCGCCGUGGCGAUGGUAAAGAUGGCGGAGAUGCCGGUGGAGUUUCUCCGGUGGGUGAUGGCGCAGGACAAGGAGGACUACCGCGUGCCUACGCUGGAGGACUACACGCAGGAGGAGGUCGCCGAGGCCAAGGACACCAUCUGCACCGUCAUCGGCUGCUUGCAGGUCGCGUACGACGAGUUCGACGAGUUCCGGGCCUGGGUCGGCGACGUGAUCGAGAACGACGGCUGCGUGAUGAUCCACGAGGACAUGCUCUUCUCGGAUCCCAAAGAAUGGCAGGAAAGCGUCGACCAGGAGUGGGCAGAGGCAAGGCAGGAGCUGGAGAUGGAGCUGACGAAACCACUCGGCCAGCACCUGUGCAUGUUGUCUACGUAUCUUUCGCUCUUGUACCACUAUGCAGCGCCCAUCCCGACAUUUUGGGGGCCUUAGCUAUAUAUAUGGGUGAGAAAAGUUAAUAUUAUUAAGGCCAAUAACCAAUGUCGUAGAGACGGUAAGAACUACCGACAUGUUUUUUUUUUCAUAUUUUUGUUUAGUUUUUAAAUUUUCCAUUUACUUUUUUUUUCAUAUUUUCGUUUAGAAUGAAUAGUUUGUUUUCAUUUUCCAACAAGACUUAUUUUGGAUUUUUGCCAAAAAAAAUAGUAAGAUAAUCUAGAGAUGACGUGGUAUCUAGUUGGUUUUGAUAUUUAGUGGCCACUUUGUUGGGUUAUAUACUUUAUACGUCGGCAAGACAAUGUAACUUUGUUGGGUUAUACUUUAUAUGUCGGCAAGACAAUCUCCACAAAAUACAAUGAUCCUCUUGGCAUUUUCCAAAUACAUGGGUGACAAUAUGGCACAAUCCGUUUACCUUUACUCGUGUGUAACCUUAGCCACAUAUGGUGCUACUUUUCUUUGCGGCAGACGCUCACAUACACGAGCACACACUCAGUCCUAUAAAUGCACGCAUGCAAGUUAUUUUGCACUAUAGCCGAUGAGAUGAACCAUUCAUGCAAAAUAAAAGAAGUGGAGAGGAAGGGUAUAUGCUGCGCUGAAAUUGGAUAUGAGUAAGGCUUAUGAUAGAGUGGAGUGGCCUUUUAUAGAGAAGAUUAUGAGAAGAGGCUGGGUUUUCAUGAAAGAUGGAUAAUACUGAUUAUGACAUGUAUUACAACAGUCACUUAUCGCAUACAGGUGAAUAGUGGUUUGACUGAACAAAUCAUUUAUUCUAGAGGGUCUAGGCAGGGGGAUCCAAUUUCCCCGUAUUUAUUCUUGCUGUGUGCGGAAGGUUUUUUCAUCCUUGCUAAAUGAUGCCGAGAUGAAUGGAAGAAGUCAGGGGGUCUCGAUAUGUUCUGGAGCUCCUAGCAUAACUCACCUUUUGUUUGCAGAUGAUUCGUUGCUUCUCUUAAAAGCAAAUGAUGGGAAUGCAGCACAUCUGCGACAUGUUCUACAAAUUUAUGAGAUAUGCUCGGGGCAGAAAAUUAACAAAGAGAAAUCCUCUAUUGUGUUUAGUAAGAACACCCAGCCACAGGCAAAAUGGAGAUUCAUGGAAAUUCUUGAUCUUGCACAAGAGUCAAUGAAUGAAAGGUACUUGGGUUUGCCAGUAUAUAUGGGGAGAUCAAAAGCAAGUGUGUUUGGAAACGGAUACAGGGUUGGAAGGAAAAGUUGCUAUCAAAGGCCGACAAAGAAACUUUGAUCAAGGCGGUGGCACACACUACUACAGGAUUGAUUAACCGCAACGAGACCAUUUCCACCUCCGUGACGGGCACAGUUUUUGCCCGCCACGGUUAUUCAACCGCACGCGUAUAGGCCCGGCCACAGGAAAGCUAUAUUUUUUUUCUAGAUUCUUAAUGGAUCCAUAUGAAACCUUCUUUGUUCGAUGUGUAACGGUUCGCAGGCACGAGAUGGAUAGGUCGGAAUGGAUGUAUGGGAUGAAUCGGGUGCUUGACCCGCGGUACCUUGUCGAAGUGAGGAAGUUUAUUGCCACGGCGAAAGCUCACCGUGAGAGAUCGAAGCGGACGACAACCAUAUGUCCAUGUUCUCACUGCAAGAACCUCACAGCCUUCACGAAAGAAGGUACGGUGCAGUCUCACUUGAUUCGGUUUGGUUUCAUGGAGGGUUACACAGUCUGGACUCAUCACGGUGAAAGAGUGGACCCCAGUGGUGAUGCAUCCGGUUUGAGCUCGACGUCGACGACCAUGAACCAAGAACCUAGAGCGCCCAUCUCAUCUCCAACGACUGCAGGGCCAACCUUUGGCAACAACGACAACAUUGAUUCAGACAGAGUGGAGGAUAUACUCGGGGAGAUGGCAGAUGUUGUUGCAGAUGGCGAGGCGGCUACCAUGCAGGAACCGGAGGAUAUCGAGGUGAUCGAGGGUUUAGUCAGCCACAUCGAUGAAGACGACGUUGUGUAUGGCUCCCCUAAGUGGUUGGAAAAUUUUAGGGAGAUGAAGCAGACUGCACUUGAUCCACUGUAUAAGGACGGCGGUAAUUGUCCAAAGGAGUGUACGGUGCUCCGGUUCAACCUCCACAUGUUGAUGAUGAAGGCCCGGCAUGGCUGGUCUGAUACUAGCUUCAAUGAGCUGUUAAGUUACCUUGCUACCACGUACCCGACGGGUAACAAGGUCCCCGCAAAUACCUAUCAUGCGAAGAAGUUGAUUCGUCCAGUUGCGAUGAAACUUAGAAAGUUUGAUGCCUGCCCCAACCACUGCAUCCUGUAUCGAGGCAAGGAGUAUGAGAAUAUGACGAGUUGUCCGCACUGCGGCGCCAGUCGCUACAAGAGGAAUGCUGGAUGUCGUGUGGACGAAGACGACGAUGUGGCCUUACGGGGUCGUCCGAAGAGGAAGAAGGGAGCCAAGAAUAGCAGUGCCGCCGCCAAUCGCAUCUCAUCUCAGCAAGAUGAGGAAGAAGAGGGUUACACGCGGAGGAAAAGUCCAGCACUAUCGUUGUGGUACCUGCCUGUGACCGACCGCUUGCGUGCACUAUUCGGGAACCCAGAGGAUGCCAAGCUCAUGUCCUGGCAUGCAUCAGCUGACCGCAAGAAGGAUGAUGGCAUGCUGCGGCACCCAUCCAAUGGCCAACAGUGGAAAGAUUUUGACAAGGCAUACCCGGAAUUUGGUAAGGAUCCUAGGAACGUUCGGCUCGCGCUGAGUACUGAUGGGAUGAACCCUUUUGGUGAGCUUAGCAGCUCGCACAGCACCUGGCCGGUUGUACUCACCGUCUACAACCUACCUUCCCAUCUGUGUCAAAGGCGAAGGUAUCUUAUGCUGACCAUGCUUAUCUCAGGACCGAAGCAGCCUGGUAACGAUAUCGAUGUCUUCCUAGAGCCGUUGAUGGAGGAAAUGCAGGAGUUAUUUGAUGUUGGGGUAGAGAUGAUUGAUGCAUCCCGCAAAGAGAAGUUUACCCUAAAAGCCAUCAUCAUUGUCAGCAUCACCGAUUACCCCGGUCUCUUCUCACUAUCAGGGCAGAUCAAAGGGAAGACCGGCUGCGUAGUGUGCAUCGACGGGACCUACUACACUUAUCUCCAGGGAUAUCACAAGAUGGUGUACAUGAGGCAUAGACGGUUCCUCGUCAAGAAGCACAGGUACAGAAGAAGUGUUAUGAAUCAGUUCUUCGCUGAUGAGGAAGAGCCGCAGGGUGAAGCACCAGCUGUGGGGGUAUAAACCCCUAUACCCUUACGGCUAGACUUGGGCCAGAAGGCUUGGCCCAUUACAAGACAAGCUCAAGGUUUGGUCCGACAGCUUGGAGUUUCGCGCAAGGAAACAAGACGUGGAGAUCAAGAAGGAUUCUAGUCGGUUAGAAUAGAAAUUGAUAUCAAACUAUCUAUGGCAAUUGUAACCGACUAGGAUUAGUUUCCAGAUCUGUAACCCUGUCCUCCGGACUAUAUAAGGAGAGGCAAGGGACCCCCCUAGGACAUCAUAUUCUCUCAACACAAAUCAAUACGACCAGACGCAGGACGUAGGUAUUACGCCAACUCGGCGGCCGAACCUGGAUAAAAAGCUUGUCCGUGUCUUGCGUCACCAUCAAGUUCGUAGUUUGCGCACCGUCUACCGAUAAACUACUACCGUGGGUAUACCCCAAGGUAGACUGCCGACUAGCUUUCGUCGACAGUGGCGCGCCAGGUAGGGGGUGUGCGUGCAACUUCUCCGGCGAACAAGAUGGUUACGAUCCCAGCUUCCGCGACCGUGCCUGAAGGCCUCACGUUCACCGUCAGCCAGAUCACGUGGACGACGUGCAGCGGCGGCCUCACGACCACGGUUUCGAAAGAAACUCAGAUCCGAUCUGAGAUCACGCCGUCUCCGACCACUCGCGUGGCGGCACCGAGCGCCCGACCACCGUUCCCGCUCUACAAGGGAAAGAAGAUUGACUGCUCGGACCUUCUCCAAGCGCUUGAUCGCGCUGACUCCAAGCUACUUGAAGCCUCCCAACUAGUAGACGGAGUCCUACGUCAGCCUGAUCAAGCUGCUCCAACGGAUUUUUUCAAAUCCCGCCGGCCAACUCGUGUCGUUACACACGAACGGCUGGGAACGUCUCUGACGAUAACCUCAACCCCCUCAGGACGAUCCGUCAAGCUCAAGAAGGGAGAUCAUCCUUGCGGCCUGAACAACUCAGCCUCUCUUUACUCACGGCACAUCCAAUCCGUUUUCAGCAAGGCGGGUUGGCCGCCGAAAAGGAACGGUCGUCACUACGUCAACGUGGUGGCAAUCCGAGAACUACGGGACGGCCAGGCUUCCAGCACGAACUCGAGCACCGGUUCCGUCACCACCGAAGUUAUAAACACCGAAGACGAGGACUACGACCUGGAUUUGCCUUCGCACCCUCCGGAUUUCCCUCGUUUCCCGGUAUUCCCCCCUCGGCGAGGAGAUAUUGUCUUCAACGUCAGCGCCGACGAACCGGUCGUCGAUGGAGAAACGGAUGAGCAGAGGCAACUCCGCGAGCAGCGCAACGCCGAUCGCGCCCGACGACGUGCGGACGAGCAACAACAAAUUCCACCGCAUAAUCUCAACGACGCUUUUGACAUGGUCGGGGACCAGCCAGUCUACAAGACGCCAAUCGCCAACGUGGCUGUCGCCAUGGCUAAUCUAGAUCGGCUCCCUGAUACCCCUGAGUGCCAAGGAGUCCGGACCAGCAUCCGAGCACACAUGAUCGCCGCAAUGGGACAGACAGCCACUCUGCUCAAGAGAGUCCAGGACGUCUCUUACACAGAAGCCACCUCCGACCAGACUAAUCGUAGCCGGACCUCACCACCUCCCAGCAGGCGUCGCCGUAGCCGCUCUCCCGACAACCAUCGAAAAGAUUCACGGCGCGACGAUGGUGGUCGGGACACUGACGGUCACCGUGAGCAGAACCGCAGACGCAGUCAAGAAGUAAACCAACACAGGGAUCUCCGGCACAACAUUCCUCCCAAAGAUGCCCGGGACCGCAUUAACAGGCGUGCCACAGAAAGAGCAGUCCACGAAAACCUGCGCCGUAUUGAGUACGAUGCACCACACGGCCCCCCGGGCCUAAGACAAUUCUUCUCACACCUCCGCCAGGUCGUGUGGCCCCGCAAUUUCAAGCUCGAAAAACUUAAAAAAUACGAUGGCAAGGAAAAUCCAGAGAACUGGAUCACUCUCUAUGAAAUCGCCGUCCGAUCAGCAGCGGGAGAUGAGCACGUCAUGGCCAACUACUUCCCCGUAGUCCUCGACCAGGCUGGUCAUCAGUGGCUCCUUGGCUUGCCCGAGGACUCCUUCGACUCUUGGGAAGAGCUACGCCAGGCUUUCAUCGACAACUUCAUCGCCACAUGCGAGCAGCCUGGAAACAAGUAUGACCUCGAAAGGAUAAGGGACAGGAAGAACGAACCUCUGCGCGACUACAUCCGACGAUUCUCGGAUAUGCGCCUUAAGAUCCCAAAGAUUUCCCACGACGAGGCCAUCUCUGCCUUCAUCAAGGGCCUGCGUUUCCAUGAAGCGCUGAGGAACAAGCUGUUGCGUAAACGGCCAACAACGGUGGCGGAGCUCCUCGCCACGGCCAAAAAUUACGCCGAUGCUGACGACGCAGAAAAACUAAUCCGAGACGAUGCGAGAGGUCCCGACCCGCCUCCCCGGCGAGACGACGGUCGCGGUCGCUACGACAACAGGAACCACCGCCGCCCCGACAACCGCGAUCACAGAGAAGGUUGGGAUCGGCGGCGCGACAACCGCGACGAUUUCAGAGGAAAGCGCCCCCACGACUACGACCACGAAGUAAAUACGGUCAAGCGCCCCAACGGGCGGCGGGACUACCAAGAAGACUACAACAAAACGUUGAAGGGACCGUGCUAACUACAUCCAAAGUCUAAUCAUACCAUGGAGGAAUGCCGCAUCCUCAAAAGCAUCUAUACACGGCGGGCCGCCCAAGACGACUCCGCUAAGAAAAACGGCAAGCGAGACGGGCACGACCACGAAGACGAGGAUGAGGACCAAGAUAGGGACCUCCGACACCAAUACGUCAGCCCCACUGACGUGGUCCACUCCAUCUUCGGGGGCAAGGUCUCCAUCGAAUCUAAGCGGGAAAGAAAGCUAUUGAAGAGAGCCUGCCUCAACAUAGACAGCACGGACGGGCUGAUCGCAGACCCGAAAUUUCCAACGUGGUCGCACAGAGAGAUCUCAUUCAGCAGGAAGGACCAGUGGGCCGCCAUCCCAGAGCCAGGUCGUUUCCCUCUGAUCCUGGACCCUUGCAUCAACAGCAUCAGAUUCGAGCGCGUGCUCGUGGACGGAGGAAGCUCCAUCGACAUCCUCUUCCGCAACAGCCUGCCCGCUCUCAAGAUAUCUCCGGCACAACUAAAACCUUACGAUGCCCAAUUCUGGGGGGUUUUGCCAGGUCAGAGUUCAGUGCCCCUCAGACAGAUAACAUUGCCUGUCCAAUUCGGCACACCCGAACACUUUCGGACGGAGUUCAUCAACUUCGUGGUCACGGACUUCGACGGGACCUACCACGCUAUACUGGGCCGACCAUCGCUGACAAAGUUCAUGGCAGUCCCGCACUACUCAUACCUGGUCCUUAAGAUGCCUACGGAGAAGGGUGUCCUAACCGUCAGAGGCAAUGUCUACACCGCGUAUACCUGCGAAGAAGAGAGCUUCAAGAUCACCGAAGCAAUCGACCUCUCAAUCCGCAUGGCAGAAACAGCAACCCAAGCCGCGCAGCUACCUCCCGACCAGCUCCGAUUGCCCGAACAAGAGACAGCCAGGAAGAAUUCAAAAUCCAAGGAGUACAAAGAAGUGCAGCUGGUCGACGGCAGCUCCGAGAAGACGGCCCUCAUCGGGGCCAAUCUGGAUCCAAAAUAGGAAGACGCGCUCGUCAGGUUUCUAAGGGACAACGUCAGCGUUUUCGCAUGGAAACCCGCAGACAUGCCCGGCGUCCCACGAAACCUGAUCGAGCACUCCUUAAACGUCUCGAAGACCGCAAGACCAAUCAAGCAAAAGCUGCGACGGUUCGCUCGUGACAAAAAGGAGGCUAUUAGGACAGAAAUAACACGGCUUCUAGCAGCCGGAUUCAUAAAAGAAGUGUAUCACCCCGAUUGGCUCGCCAAUCCGGUUCUUGUACGCAAAAAGAAUAAUGAAUGGAGAAUGUGCGUUGAUUACACAGAUCUCAAUAAACACUGUCCUAAAGAUCCUUUUGGUCUCCCUCGCAUCGACGAGGUGGUCGACUCAACGGCCGGAUGCGAACUCCUCUCUUUUCUAGACUGCUACUCUGGUUACCACCAGAUUUCGCUAAAGGAAGGCGAUCAGAUCAAAACAUCUUUCAUUACCCCUUUCGGCGCAUACUGCUACACGACCAUGUCAUUCGGACUCAAAAACGCUGGAGCCACUUAUCAACGGGCCAUCCAGCAGUGCCUCCACGACGAGAUUCGUGAUGACCUCGUCGAGGCCUAUGUAGACGACGUGGUCGUAAAAACAAGGGACGCGAGCACCCUAAUCGACAACUUAGACCGAACUUUCAAGGCGCUUAAUAGGUACAAGUGGAAGCUCAACCCCAAAAAGUGCAUCUUCGGUGUUCCUUCCGGUCUACUGCUCGGCAACGUUGUCAGUCGCGACGUCAUACGACCAAACCCUUCAAAAGUAAAAGCAGUACUCGACAUGCGACCACCCAAGAACGUCAAGGAUAUUCAGAAGCUUACCGGAUGUAUGGCCGCCCUCAGUUGCUUCAUCUCAAGGCUAGGAGAAAAAGGCCUCCCUUUCUUCAAACUCUUGAAAGCGUCGGAAAAAUUCUCUUGGACAGAAGAAGCCGACGCCGCGUUCACUCAGCUUAAGGCUUUCCUCACUUCACCACCUGUCCUUACAGCGCCUCCGCCCGAUGAAGACCUACUCCUUUACAUUGCUGCAACCGACAGGGUUGUUUCCACAGCAAUAGUGGUCGAGCGAGAUGAACCAGGUCAUGCCUAUAAAGUCCAGAGACCCGUUUACUUCAUAAGUGAAGUCUUAAACGAGUCCAAGGCCAGGUACCCACAAAUACAGAAGCUCAUAUACGCCAUUCUAAUAACAUCAAGAAAGCUGAAGCACUACUUCGACGGCCAUCGAGUCUUGGUAACCACCAGUUUCCCUCUCGGGGACAUUCUGCGCAAUAAAGACGCCAACGGCAGAAUCGUGAAAUGGGCGAUGGAAUUAUGCCCAUUUUCCCUAGAGUUCCAGAGCCGCACCACAGUCAAGUCUCAGGCCCUGGUCGAUUUCAUUGCUGAAUGGACGGAUCUCAACGAGCCUCCCGUUCCCGAUGUCUCCGACCACUGGUCAAUGUUCUUCGACGGAUCCUUAAACAUCAACGGUGCCGGCGCUGGGAUACUGUUCGUGUCACCUAACAAGGACAAACUGCGUUACGUCCUUAGGAUCCUAUUUCCAGCGUCAAACAAUGUCGCCGAAUACGAAGCAUGCCUGCACGGCAUAAGGCUCGCCGUUGAGCUGGGAGUCAAACGCCUUUAUGUCUAUGGCGACUCCGCUUUGGUUAUCAACCAGCUCAACAAGGAGUGGGACGCAACCCACGAGAAGAUGGAUCUCUACUGCAAAGAAAUUCGCAAAUGGGAAACCAACUUCUACGGCAUAGAGUACAUCCACGUGGUCCGAGAUAAGAACCAGGCAGCAGAUGCGUUGUCGAAGUUAGGGUCAUCUCGGGCCUAGAUCCCACGGGGUAUUUUCGUCCAGGACAUCCACGAGCCUAGCAUAGGCUCCACCCUGGUCGAAAAGCAACCUACCGAGGCAAUGCUCAUAGACGAUGCCACUCCGACAACCGGUGGUCGUGAUUGGCGUACACCGUUCAUCAAGUAUAUAUCGGACGGGACAGGCUUUCAGGACAAAACAGAGAACGAGCGCCUCAUUCGACGGUUAAAGAACUACAUCCUGGUCGACGGUAAACUCAUGCGAAAAAAUGCAAGCUCUGAAGUAUUGCUCAAGUGCAUAUCCCAGGAUGAUGGUACCAAGCUCCUAGAAGACAUACAUGCUGGAUCCUACGGCAAUCACACCGCAUCCAGAACGUUGGUCGGAAAAGCCUUCCAGGCAGGUUUUUAUUGGCCAACCGCGGUCAACGACGCAGAAAAACUGGUUCGACACUGCGAGGGAUGUCAGUUUUUCGCUAAGAGGACCCACGUACCCGCUCACGAAAUUCAAACCAUCCCGUCGUCCUGGCCCUUCGCUUGCUGGGGGCUUGACAUGAUCGGGCCAUUUAAACCAGCUCCCGGCAACUUCAAGUUUGUUUUCGUGUUAAUCGACAAGUUCUCCAAGUGGAUCGAAUACAUGCCUCUGGUCAAAGCAACCUCCGAGAAGGCUGUGGAGUUCCUCAAUCAAAUCAUACACAGAUUCGGCAUCCCGAACAGCAUAAUCACCGACCUGGGUACUCAGUUUACUGGCACCACAUUUUGGGACUUCUGCGAUGACAGGGGCAUAGUCAUAAAAUAUGUGUCAGUGACUCAUCCACGGGCCAAUAGUCAAGUUGAACGCGCAAACGGAAUGAUCAUUGACGCCCUAAAGAAAAGGCUGUACAACGAGAACGACAGAGCACCCGGUCGAUGGAUGAAAGAGUUACCUGCCGUGGUUUGGGGCCUCCGUACUCAGACCAGUCGAAACACAGGAGUAUCUCCCUACUUCAUGGUUUACGGCUCCGAGGCAGUCCUGCCGUCUGACAUAACCUUCGGAUCUCCUAGGAUUGAACACUUCGACCAGGCGACAGCCGACAACGCCAGAGAACUCGAAAUCAACUGCAUGGAGGAAAAGCGUUUGAAUUCUUGUCUCCGAACAGUAAAAUAUCUCACGGCAGUCAGGCGAUACCACAACAGGAACGUCAAGGACCGUUCCUUCGUGGUCGGCGACCUGGUACUUAGGUGGAGAACAAGCCAAGAGGGAAUGCACAAGCUCUCCACUCCCUGGGAAGGACCCUUCGUGGUCGCCGAAGUCACACGACCCACGUCCUACAGAUUGGCAUACCCAGACGGGACACGCGUGCCUAACUCUUGGCACAUAGACAAACUGCGACGAUUUUACCCAUAAGUUCUAAUAACUUUCGCUUGUAAAUAUCUUAUAAUUGUCAAUAUUAAAGUUUUCUAUUUUUUGCCUAUACUUUGUUGCACGCAGAACUCUUGGCAAACCUUCUGCAACGGAAGCUCUUAGCGACUACCAAGUCAAAUACGGUGACACGUCACUCAGAUAAUUAUACAGCGCUCAAAAUAACAGUCAUGACAAAGCAAACUUUAUUACAAACUUUAUAUACAAAGUUUACAAUAAAUAUCCUGACGGGCAGACGCUAGUCUAUUCCUACAGACUACCCUAUCGGCCUAACUGCUCGGGCUGAUCACCCGUUUGGCCCUGCUGCCCGGACGAAGGGGUCGGGCCCACCGGCGCCUUGCUGGUCGAGACCGCAGGCGUCGACCGCCCAUCUCCCGCAACAGACGCGCCCGACAGCUCCCUGGCCGACCUGUCUGAGCCUGGCUGGUCGGGGGGAGUGGCCGUUCCGCACAGAUUGAUGUCGCCGAUCACCAUCGACGACAAGUCCAGCAGACCACCCCGAAGCUCGUCCGCCUCCUGCGGGCCGACCUCCUUGGGGUACCCCUUCUCCAGCCUGGACAAGUCGACCAGGGGGUAAUGGGCGCGCACCAUGCUAAGGACAUGCGCACCAGCGAACUCCCCAGCGUCCUUCACAAAUUGCUGGAGCCAGUCCCACGCCCGUUGCGCCUUCUCCACCGGAGUCAACUUCGGCGCGCGGGGCUGGCUCUCCGGGAGCUCGGGACUGAUCAGAUCCAGGACCGGGGAUACUCCCUUCCAGAUCUUACAACAGUUGACCUUCCAGGAGUCCCAGUCCUUGACCAGCUCAUCCAGGUGCUUCUUGGCGUUCACCUUGAGCUCUGCAAGUCAAGCAGGACGUUAUCUUCGACAUAUCAAAAAACAAAGGGGGCGACAAGCGGCAGAUAACGAGGCGGUGCGUAUUACCAGAUAACUCCCGGUCCUUACGACCCAACUCCUCUCCUGCUCGACGCCCGGACUCCAGCGCACCAGCGAGCUCUUGGCUGAGCUGCUCCUUCUCCUAUCGGAGGCGCGUCACCUCCUCCUCCAGGUCUAAGUGAAUCAUAACCUGGUCAGCAAAGCGAACUACACAGCUACACGAAGGUGCUCGGAUCGCGUGACUAACCUUCUCGCUGACGGUACUGGUCGGCCAAGCGACGGGUAAGCUCGAGACAAUGCUCCUCUUGGGCAUUCAUCUCGGCCACUUUCUCCCCAACCUCCGAUCGCAGCCGGUCCACCUCCGCGGCUAGGGCCUUGUUCUCGGCCACAACGCCUUCUAUCUGGUCGAAGCACCGUUUCCGGUACUUCGCCGUUUUCAUCGCGCCCUACAAAACGAACAUAUGACAACCAAGCAAGACAACGUACAGAAUGUACAACAGUGCAAAGAACCGCUUACCUUGACUUCGUCGACGAGGCGUUUGGCCGCGCGCUCGACCCUGGCGGCCUCCUCGGUCUCGGCGAGCUCCUCAUGCCCGAUGAAGUGAUCCCCGCGUUGGCGCCACACAUACACGUGUUGGCGGCCAUCGCGGGGACGACCUUCAAUCUCCUCCACCUCAUCGUCGGAGGCCGCCUGGGUUUCCUCCUCACCCGUCGUUUUGCCCCCGGUAGCAGUCGAAGGCAUUACUGGCCCCCGGGCCAGACCCGGGGAGCCUGCAGUCGAAGCGUCCCCUGCUCGGGGCGGCGUGGGGACUUCGCUCUCCUCGGCAGGAGGAGGGGUCGGGGCUCUCCCCUCCCUUUCUGUGGAGUUCGCUGGGGGAGGUGCCCCUGUAGCCUCCUCAGCCCUGGCCGGGCUGCUCGCCGUGGUCGGUGCCGCGGCUGGGGGCUCCUCGGUGCUCACAGGCACGGCUGCAGCCGCAGGCUGCUCCGUGGUCUGCGGCGCCGCGUCUUCAGCAGCGCAGGCAGGCUCACCCGCCCCCUGGCCGGCGGCAUGGCCGGGGUUGACAUCCGACGCCGCGCUAAAAGAACAAAAGUACAAUAAAAAAAAAGCCAAAAUACGUAAGUCGAACACUUACAGGUCCGAUCGACGGUGGGUCGCGGUGAACCUCCUCCUCGUCCGGCCAGUCGGCACCUGCGCCCCCAUCUCGACAACGCGCGGAGCAGGAGGGUCGCUGGCCACCCGAUCAGUAGUGGCCGGCGCACUAUCUGGGCGGUUCCGAGGUCGUCGAACUAGCGACGGUGCGGCCUCCUCGUCGUUGUCGUCGUCGUCGUCAACGAUCCGCACGAGCCGACGGCGCUUCGGCGCUUGGCUGCUCUCCGCCGGCAACGUCGGUACCGGCAAAGGAUCUGCCGCCAGUGGCCUUUUCCCCGCCACCCUCUCCUCGGUGGUCGGGACGGGGCGGGCCUGGUCCUCCUCACUGCUGGUGUACCGAUCACACCGUGCAGCGUCCUCUAAAGGCGGAUCCUCCCUUGUGGGAUCCUCCAUCCCAGGCGCUAGUGACACAUACACUGUGCACCUAUCUACAUCUCCGAUCUACAAAGAGAAAUACAGACAAGUCAGCAUCCGACGAUAUAACGAAGGCUAAGGAGUCAGUCAGUAAAGGACAUUACCUUAGGGGCUGGUUGCCCCAGCUUGAAAGCUUGCACCCGAUCACUACCACGGAUGAAGCCCCCAUCAGUAAAGUUGAACAAUUCGUACAACAACUGCUGCACCUCUUCCUUCUCCAGGACCUCAGGCCUCAUCCUGGUCGGGUCCUGGCUUCCGGCGUACUCAUACGCCGAGUGCACCCUCUUCUGGCAGGGCAUCACUCGGCGGCAAACAAAGUUCCCGACCACCCCUAGCCCGUCCAAGCGCGACCAGUCGAUCAGCUUCAUCAGGUCUGCUACCUGUCGAUCGAAUUCUGGGCGGUCGGUCCAACUGACCCUCUUCUCGGGGAUGUACCCCAUGUCACAGAACGUGGAGCUGCCCGGCUCCUCCCUGACGUAGAACCAUUUCUUAUACCACUCGGUAAGAGAGGUAUUCCAAGGGCAGUUCAGGUACCGGUUCUUCAUCCCGUCCCGGAGAUUGAGGUAUACUCCACCUGCAAUCUUGGAGCCUCCAACUGCUCCCUUCUUCCUUAAACAGAAAAGAUAACGAAAGAGAUCCAAGUGCGGCUCUAUGCCCACAUAGGCCUCGCACAAAUGGAUAAAAGUGGAAAUGAGGAGAAUGGAGUUCGGGUGCAGAUUGCAAAUCCCGAUCUCAUAAUACAAAAGAAGACCUUGAAGAAAAGGAUGAACAGGAACCCCAAAUCCCCUCUUAAUGAAAUCUUCAAACACGACGAUCUCACCGGCGCGGGGGUCGGGGUAGCUCUCCCCCUCCGGUGCCCUCCAGCCGCCGAGCUCCGGGCUGUGCAGAAGCCCCAUAUCGACGAGGUCACCAAGAGAUUUGGUGGUGCUGCGGGAUUUCUUCCACUCCUUGGCCAUCAGUUCGGCCCUCUUCUUGGAGUCGAUCUUCGCCAUUGGAGGUGAGGAAGUGGACUUGAGUUAGGAAGAUGCCGGUGAUUGAAAGAGGCAAGAGUGGAAGGCUUGAAGGCAAUGGCAGGGUAAGCAGUAUAGGCGGAACUGUCGAGCUCUUAUAACCCGCAAAUCCACCUCUCCCACUUCCCGUAUUCUCGGGAAGUGGGCGGGCCGUGCGGCGGAUGUGGCGUUUCGGUUUUCAAUGAUUAUAGACGAUUAAUGCGGCGGAGUUUUCGUACCAAUUGAUGGUUUCCUUUUCUCAAACCAUGCAAAGGGUGGCUGCACAGUUGCCAGGCGCAACUUUUCAUGCAUCCAUCUGACAUCCCGUCAGGAGGCCUCGUCACGUCAACUUUAACUGGAAAGAUCUUUUCAAAAACAAGAAGACAAAUAUGGCAGAGAGUCAACAAUCCGGGGACUGUACCGACCACCGAGCACUUGAUGCUCGGGGACUGGUCGCCCAGUCUAUCGACUCAGAACUUCAAAGACUGUACCGACCACCGAGCACUUGAUGCUCGGGGACUGGUCGCCCAGUCUAUCGACUCGGAACUUCAAAGACUGUACCGACCACCGAGCACUUGAUGCUCGGGGACUGGUCGCCCAGUCUAUCGACUCAGAACUUCAAAGACUGUACCGACCAUCGAGCACUUGAUGCUCGGGGACUGGUCGUCUAGUCUAUCAGCUCGGAACUUCAAAAUAUCACACCAACCACUAAGCGCUUGAUGCUCGGGGACUGGUCGUCCAGCAUAGCAACGCAGGAUUCUAAGGAGCGCACUUGGUACUUGGGUCCUGAUGGUCAUACUAUUGUACACCAGGGGACUGGUCGAUCAGUCUGUUCAAUUGCAGACGGACUAGUAAAAUUAAUUUUUUAGACCUUGCUACAAGGCUCAUACUUCGUCUUCCAGCAAGCUCGGGGACUAUAUCGGUACGAUGCAUCUGGCGAUGCAUCUCAGUUGCAGAAUUUCUUUGAGGACUUUUCUUUUGACCCUGGCACCACGUACCUACGUCACCUACUACCAGGCUCGGGGACUAAGUGGGCACACUUCACCUUGCGGUGAAUAUGCUUGCUUUUUUGAGGUUUAUACUUUUCUUAAAAGUAAAGUGGGCACACUUCACCAGGAAAGAAUUUUUUUUAAAUUUAGAGCACCAUGCAUUCAUCGAACAACCAGCUUCUUCGAUGUCAACGUUGAUCAACUGUCUUUUGAGUUGGUCAAAGUACCGUUGCGACUGUUUGGGUGACUUUUUGUUUAUUGAAGACGUCAAGCCUCACUGAUCGAAGAAGCUCAAGAUGGCGUGUUACAUCACAAUACAUGGUGCUCGGGGACUAGCUGUGGGGGUAUAAACCCCUAUACCCUUACGGCUAGACUUGGGCCAGAAGGCUUGGCCCAUUACAAGACAAGCUCAAGGUUUGUUCCGACAGCUUGGAGUUUCGCGCAAGGAAACAAGACGUGGAGAUCAAGAAGGAUUCUAGUCGGUUAGAAUAGAAAUUGAUAUCAAACUAUCUAUGGCAAUUGUAACCGACUAGGAUUAGUUUCCAGAUCUGUAACCCUGUCCUCCGGGCUAUAUAAGGAGAGGCAAGGGACCCCCCUAGGACAUCAUAUUCUCUCAACACAAAUCAAUACGACCAGACGCAGGACGUAGAUAUUACGCCAACUCGGCGGCCGAACCUGGAUAAAAAGCUUGUCCGUGUCUUGCGUCACCAUCAAGUUCGUAGUUUGCGCACCGUCUACCGAUAAACUACUACCGUGGGUAUACCCCAAGGUAGACUGCCGACUAGCUUUCGUCGACACCGGCGCAGACUAGUUGGGGGCCAAAGGUGUAUGAGAUGGUGAAGGAUAUGGAUCACAUAGAGUUUGGCAAGAAGAAGAAGAAGGUACCAGAAGAAGAGGGGACAAAACAUACAAGGAAGAGAAAGCGGGACACGAAGGAGGACGCCGCACCGCUUGUCCCUUUCAAGAAGAAAUCGAUUUUCUUCAAGUACCUGUCAUACUGGAAAACCCUGAAAACACCCCAUGCCAUUGACUGCAUGCACCUCGAGAAAAACGUCUUUGAUAGCACCAUCGGUGUCCUAUUGGACAUCAAGAGCAAGAUGAAGGAUGGCCUCAAGUCACGGUUGGAUCUUGUGAACCAGGGCAUCAGGAAGGACCUUCACCCGGGUCCGACUCAUAACGGCAAAGUCGAUCUACCAGGUGCGUCUUACAACCUAAGGCAUGAUGAGAAGAUUGCUAUGCUCAAGUUGUUGAGGGGUAUCAAGGUGCCGACCGGUUUCUCUUCCAACAUCAAGAGUCUGGUGUCCAUGAAAGACCUCACACUAGCCGGCUACAACUCACAUGACUGUCACGUCAUGCUGACGGUGUUCCUUCCAAUCGUGAUUAGGGCUAUCGGUCCAGAAUACGUGAAGAUGGUGGUCACUCGGAUGUCAUACUUCUUCAACCGUAUCACCCAGAAGGUCAUCGGUAAGGCUGACCUGCCUGCCCUUAAGGAGUUCAUUGCAGAGACCCUCUGCCAGCUCGAGAUGUGCUUUCCCCCAUCUUACUUUGAUAUUAUGCCACACCUGAUGAUGCACAUGGUUGAUCAGAUCGAGCAACUUGGCCCCGUGUACCUACACCAGAUGUGGACGUACGAGCGGUUCAUGUCCACCCUCAGCAGAUACGUCCAUAACCGUGCUUACCCAGAAGGCUCUAUGAUCGAGGCAUACACAACUGAGGAGUCCGUGAACUGGUGCAUGAGGUACAUAAGAGAUGGGAGAGCGAUUGGGAUGCCUGUCCAUCAGCACGAGGGCAGAACCGCGGGGUUGGGGUGUACUGGACGCAAAGUACGCACCGAUAUACCAUAUAAAGAUGUGGAACAAGCUCAUUACAGUAUCCUUCAUCAGUUAGUGAGCAUGGAGAAGUACGUUGACAGACAUGUCGAAGAGAUCCGCGUCGCGCAUGAUGGACAACACACAGAGGAAUGGGUCCAGAAAGAGCACAAGAGCACUUUCCUAUCCUGGCUUAAAGAGCAACACAUACCCCUAGAAGGCUGCUCUGAUAAAGAUACAGACACCGUUAAGAAGCUUGUGCUAGGUCCGUCCAGCAGAGUCACCACGUGGCAAGGCUAUGACGUCAAAGGGUACCGGUUCCACACGAAAGAAAAGGACAAGAAGAGCGCCGCACAGAACAGCGGUGUUCGAUAUGAGGGUGUCGACGAGGCCACAAACUCGAGGACGCAAUACUAUGGGCAGGUCGAAGAAAUAUGGGAACUUGACUAUAGCAAAGACGUUCGCGUAACCGUCUUCCGAUGCCACUGGGUUAACCCAAAAACGGUUGUGGUGGACAAUUAUGGGCUAACCACCAUGAACCUCAAAAGUACCGGCUACAAAGAUGAUCAGUGGGUACUUGCAACCAAUGUCGCGCAAGUGGCCUACUAUAUCUAUCCGGAGGACACAAAGAGGCAUGUGGUUGUUUCAGGAAAGCAACGCAUCGUUGGAGCUGAUGGGGUACAGAGCCCAGAACAAUACAACAACUAUGAAGAGCUCGAGCUAUUUACCGAUCUACCAAAGAAGGUGAAGGCCAUCGAGGACCGUUGUAACAAGAGUGGAAUGAAGCCGUGGACCCGACAUGAUGGUGAGGUGCGGUCUGUGAAAGCACCUGCACCAAAAUGAGAGAACUAUUUAAGAUAAUGGGCAAUUAUUGUAAUACCUCUUUUUAAGACAAGUCUUAUAUUUAAUGAAGUAGUGGACAAUUAUACAUAGCACACACAUCUAUAUGUAAUGGAGUAGUAGUGGAUAAUUAUUGUUUAAUAUCUCUUUUUUAAUAUGUAAGUUUUGUAAUUCAGCUAUUUAUAAAUGUCAAUUUAUUAAUAUCCCUGUAGCUAUUUACAAUUUUAAAAUUAUCAAAAAAUUAUAUUAUAAAAGUAAAAAGCUUCUGUUCAGGGAAUAACCGCAGCGGGCGUCUUAACUUGCCCGCUGCGGUAAAUAUUAACCGCAGCGGGCGUCUUAAAGUGCCCGCUUCGGUUAAUAUUUACCACAGCGGGCAGGUUAAGACGCCCGCUGCGGUUAAUGUUAACCGAAGCGGGCACAUUAAGACGCCCGCUACGGUUAUUCCCACACUAUAAAAGCAGGCGGCCCUCUGCCCUAAAAUUAGUCGCGCGGUUCUUCCUCACCCGAAGGGCUGCCGAAUUUCGAACUCCCGCCUUCGCCGCCGCCGUCCCCGUCCACGCUCCAUCACCGUCACCCGCUCGAACUCGCCUGCUUCAUCCCCGUCCGCCGUCCGCCACCGCGGGACCUUCACCGGCGCUUCGUCACCGUCGGCCAUCCGCGGGACCUUCACCGGCGCCAUCCACCGUCCGCUGCACUUCGCCACCAGGUAUGCUCCCUCCUUUCUCUUCCCUUUCUUCCUUAGCGGAGCCGAGCACUUCCUCCCUAUUCCCUCCAUCGUUCAAAUCGACCCCACCCCCGCGGCGCGCGCCUCGGGUCCCCGUCUCCGCGGAUCUCCGGUGAGUCCUCUGUCACCCGCCAUCCGUGUAACGCAGCCGUGACCCUGCGGUAGGGGAAGGCUAAGGCCUUCACAACACCCUAUGAAGAAUACAAGUGAAGCAAAAAGAACCUCAGAAGCAAAUGUUUUUUGAAGUGUUUAUGUCUAUGUCCAGAUCUGCUUGGGUCUUUCAAGUUUAAUUGUAUACUAGAUAUGUGUAUUACAAUUAUAGAAUUCAUGUUUUAUGUUCUUAUUUUUUCAGUCUAUAACAAUUCCCUGAAUUUCAAUCAGCGCAAAAUGCUUUAUCUUAUAUGCUUGUAGGCAUCAAGCAGGUAGUGUCAAAUGCCAUGGUUUGUGUGGAGUGAUGCCUAAAUUUUCUCUCUCUUCUUUGCAUGUCGAGUGCAGUAACUUCUCAAUUUAUAUUAGACAUCCCAAAUCAUUGUUUCAAGUACUGGGAUGUUCAAUCUGCAAUGUGGCUUCUUGAUUUGAUUGAGUAGAUCUGUGGUCUCUAGUCAGACUUAUUUGUUUAGCUUAGCUCUAAAAUUUUAUAUUAUUCCAAGUUGUGUUCACGAGAACUCCAAAAUGUUCAAUCUGCAAUGUGGUUUCUGUUUGCAAGUGCCACAAAACUGAAAUCAUUUCGCCAGACCACAUCCAGUAGAACAAGUGCUAUGUUCCUAGGUAGACUAAAUGUGUAUGCUGCAACCGUGUAGGGUCACAAUUUUUGAAACAUUUUUAGGUUCACAACACGGAAGUCAUCAGAGUAUAUUUUGGUUCUUGUGUUUUACUUUGUAUUUGAUUCGUGUUCUCAAUGCAGCAUACACAUUUAGGUAGCAGCUGUUUUGUGUGGAUAUGAAUCUUGCAUAAUGUCUGUUACGAAUCUUGCACAGUUAACUGCUUUAAACUGAAAAAAUGGCUAUUCAUUUCAUAUCAUUUUAGCUGGUUAGUUUUUGCUCAAUUGAAGCUUUGUUCUCUUAUUUUUUAUGCUAAAACUGCCAGAUUAGUAGUUUUCUUUGUCUCUUUCUAUCUGUUAGGAGGAACUAAGCUUGCUGCAUUUAAACUAUAUAUACUUGGACAAUUGCAAAAAUUCCAGUAAAUAAUCAUGUCCAUCAUAUCCUAAGCCCACAGCUUGCUGCAUUUGCAUAAUUUGCAUUUGCAUGAUUUGUAGGGUAACUAUUUGUAAGAGUAUUGUGUUAAAUAAUUUCUAUGCUCUAAGAUAUUUGCACAUCUUUAAAUAGUUUCUCACAUUUGCACAUAGAAAUGGCGGACGACCCGUUCCAGAAUUGGAGGGAGCCUACCCCUCGCCACCGCAAAAGAAACGUCGAACCGAGGAAGACGUAGAUCCGACGUACAAUCCGGUGGAUGACAAAGCCCACAGUGCACAGAUCCCAGUUGUGCCUCGGGCGUUAGACUUUGGGUCCGGAGAAGAGAACAGACAUGAAGAAGGCCCCGCUCCCUCCACGACAACCUCAGAAUCCAAGCAGAAGCGGAGGAGGGGGCAACACGGGAGGCACCAAAGGGAGUUGACUGACGUGGUGCACGUGAUCCUUGAGGUGGGGCCAGAGGGAAACCCAGUGAGUCCGCAAGGGGUACUUGGCCGGUUCAGCAACCAAGUGUCCUGCAUAGUCAGAGAUAAGGUGUUGAUCACUUGGCCGAGCUGGCAUCAGGUCCCGAAAGACGUCAAGGGCAAUGUAUGGGGUGAGGUUACCCGGAAGUUCACUUAUCCCGAAGGCGCAGACAUGGAGAAGUGUUGUGAGUGGGCCAUGCACGUGGCGUCCUGUGCCUUUCGCAACUUCAAGUCGAUGCUGGCACGAGACUUUCUAAAGAAGAAGAAGUCACCAUGCGAGAAAUACACUAUGGUGAAGGAGCAUGUGUGGGAAGAAUUCUGCCGAAUGAGGACGACUGCUGAAGCAGAGGCAAAGAGCGCCAAGUUCAGUGCUCUGGCGAAACAAAACAAGUAUCCCCACCACUUGGGCAUGAUUGGCUAUGUCGGACAUAGGGCUCGAUGGCAGGCAGAAGAACAGGCUAGACAGGCUGCUGGGAUUCCUGAUCCAUACGAAGACGUCGAUGUUAGAGCUAAGGAGUUCAUGUAUGCCCGUGUUCUAAAGAAGCUAAAGCCAGGCGCGACCAAGUACAACAAGCCGCAAUAUGAGGAGUUGGAGAAGGCUCUCGUCCAGGCCGCCAAAUCUAAGGACAACAUCGAGGUCCGUAGGGGCCAUGACUUGCUGACCGAGGUCCUCGGAACCCCUGAGCAUCGCGGCCGUGUUCGUGGAGUCCAGUGCAAGAUGAGCUAGAAGUUGGUCGAGUCGUGGCAGGCCGACGCAUCCGCAUACAAGUCCAGGCAGAAGUACAAGGACACGUUGUAUCAGAAAGGCUUCGAAGAAGGCAUGGCUGAGGUGAUCAAACACUCAAUAAAAGAAGCCUUCACGAGCAAUGAGCCUAAAAUGGUGGCGAUGAGGUCACAGAUGUUUCGCGAGGCUGGCCUGGCCACGGCUCCACUUCAACAACCGCAAGGGCUGCCGAUGAUCGAGGGUCAACCAAUGCACUGGACCGAGGACGUCCAGAAAGACACACACGUCCAGCUCUUGAUCCCGUUCGGAAGAUCCAAGAAGAUGUAUAUAGCUGAGGGAAUGCUACAUCCCAAAAGCAUAGAUUUCAGCCCAGAGGAAAUCCCAAAAGGCUAUGUGGUUGUGACCCCACUCUGGAAUGUGCCAGAGCAAGAAGAGUAUGAAUUGGACCUUCCAAACAUCCAGCACGUCAGAUUUCUUAGGCAGGCCAUUGGUCAUGAAGUUCUAUGGAACAAGGAAGACAUUGAGAUCAUUCCACCGACACCAACUCCGACACCGACACCAGGAUCGCAGCCAUCAACUGUCGGAUCACAACGAUCAGUGGCUGGAUCUUGUCCCCCAGAUGAUCCUGAUGGUAGUGACGAUGAUGCUGAAGGCAAUGGCGAGGACAAGGGCAAAGGACAAGGCGAUGGCCAUGGCCAUGGCCAGGACAAGGAGAAGGCACAAGACAAGGACGAUGGCGGAGAUAAGGAGAAGGCACACAUAGAUGAGGGUGACAAAGACAUGGGUGCAACCUGUGCCCCUCCUCCAAAUAGUCCGCCUCGGAGCCCAAGAAGACAACAAGAAGGAGGCAUGGAGGAGGCAACAAGGACUAAGACACCACCGCCAACAUCUACUCCUACGCUUGAAGCUCCUCCUCCACCGAGCAAGAAUGCAGGCAGGACCGCCACAGUACUCCCGUACACUACUACGUCUGAAAGGUAUGAGACAAACAAACAUAAUAUUCUCGUAACCUUUCUAACACAUAAAAUGGUAAUAACAUUUGUAAGUAUGUUUUGCCAGGCCUACAAAUACUCUCCAAAUCAAUCUAUUUCCCGAGGCGGAAGACUGUCCUGGCCACUAUGAGCUUGGAAAGUUCAUGCUACCUAAGGCCCAGCUCAUCGACGAUGAAAAGUGGGAUACAAGGAAGUUCCACCUGUGGUAUAUGGAAGCGGCAAAAGCCGGGAUGACAGGUUUCACCAUCAAGAUUCCCUCGGAGUUGUUCCACUUGCCCGGUGCAGAUAUUCAGCUGCCUGUGGACUUCCAGGACAUGUACAAUCUAUUGCGGGAAGAAGACCUUGACAUCGUCCAAAUCACCUUAUUCUCUCUGUAAGUGAUGAUUGCGACCUUCAUAGACCAAUCUCUACAUUUGUAUUGGAGAACUAUAUGAUUUUUCGGACACGAUGACUUGUCCGUGCAGGUUGACGGUCACUAUUAGCAACAAAAGGCACCAUCCUAUCCUAUACCUCUCUCCAAUGCAUAUUGCUGAGAGAGUGAUCAAGGGUUUCCAGAUAACGGACCCAGAGUUGACCGUGCGGCAGAGGGAAAAGAAGUACGAAGAAAACAUGAAAGAGGAGAAGAAGAAAUUGUCAAGGUACAUCUUUGAGGUAAUGAAGAAGCUCAACCCGGAUGGGCCGCAUUGUAUUAUGGCUGCCUACCACUUUGGGUAAGUCGAAACAUCCAUGUAGAGCAAAAGUGGCUAGGGUCAUGCCUUCUCGUUGACAUAACCUAUACUUGUUUCAAUGGUGUAGAAAUGACCUAGCCGGCGGCCACUGGGUUGCCUUCCUCGUAUAUCCUCAAGAUGGCCGGGCUGUUAUAUUUGACUCGUUACAGGUACCGAACAAAAAGGGGUACAAGGCCUUCGAAGACUGCUUGAAAAAGUAAGCCACCGAGCUUCUUGAUCCUUUACGGUUAUCAUAUUCAAAUUGACGCUAACACUACUACACUUCGUGCAGCGCUUAUAGUGCAUAUCUCAAGGAUCCGCAAUGCUUGGAUCGGAGAACGGAGAAAUUCAAAAAGAGGCAUAAGCACCACCUCAAAAUCCGACGCGAUUUCCCCGUAAGUAUAUUUCAAAGGUAGUUUAAUUAUGCUUUUGGUAUAUAUGUGCUCUAAUGCUUUUGUAUCGAUCGUGCAGUGCGCCAAACAACCCUUGGGAUCAAAGGCAUGUGGCUUGUACACCUGCGAGAACCUAAGGGAAAGCAAGGAGUACACCAACAGCUGGAAGAAGCUCAAAGAAGCAGUGAAGAAUCGUGGAGAGACGAUGAAGAAUGAACGCCAAGCUUUUAAGCAAAUCAAGGCGGACAUCUGUAAGUUCAUCCUAGAGAAAUGCGUGCUCGAAGGCGAACCAUUCUUCGACAAUGAAGGUGAAUUGGCAGUUCGACCUGAGUUCGAGAAGCUUAGGAGAUGGGACACCAUGCUACGGCCGACGGAUUACACCCACGCAGUAGAAUUGUGAUGUGUAGCGGAUUCGUGGGUUUGUGUAUAUGUGGAUGAUGAGAACAACUAAGUGGAUUUAUAUAUUAUGUUGUGUCUUAUGUAUUGAACUUUCAGGCAUAUGUGUGUCUGUAUAUAUAUAUCUUCUGUUUCUAAAAUGAAAUCUACUUUCUGGAAUUUGUAAAUUGUUUAAAUUCAUAUUGAGCAAUGGUUCUGCAAUGUGUUUUUUUAUUUAAAAACACUUAACCGUGGCGGGCAACAUAAAGAGCCCGCUACGGUUAAUCUAUUAACCGUAGCGGGCGACGUAAAGAGCCCGCUGCGGUAAAUUGGAAUUAACCGUAGCGGGCGCUUUACGUUGCCCGCUACAGUUAAUCGAUUAACCGCAGCGGUCAGCGGCGCCCGCCACGGAAGUGGCCACGAUUUACCGUGGCCUUAUGGCCGUGGCGGACGCGUUUGCCCGCUACGGAAAAGGGAAAAUGGCCACCACGGUUAUUCUUUCUGCAGUAGUGACAAUCAAUUCCAUCAUAUGCCAUGUCCUGUUUUGAUCUUACUAAAUCUCUUUGUGAUGAGAUAGGCAAAAUGAUAUGUAGAUACUGGUGGGCGCAACAAGAUAAGGAGAAUAAAAUGCAUUGGGUCUCUUGGGAGGAAAUGUGUAGAAGGAAGGAGGAAGGUGGUCUUGGUUAUAGAGACCUUCAUCUUUUCAAUUUGGCUAUGUUAGCACGACAGGGUUGGAGAAUUUUGCAAAAUCCUGAUUCAUUAUGUGCGCAGCUGUUGAGAGCGAAGUAUGGCACAAAUGGCUCCUUGUUGCAGACUAGUGAAGGACCGGGUAUAUCCUAUACUUGGCGUAGUAUUGUCCGUGGACUCCAAGCAUUGCAAAAGGGACUGAUUUGGCGGAUUGGAGAUGGAAUGCAAAUUAAUAUUUGGGAAGAUCCAUGGAUAUCAAAUGGGAUUACCAGGAGGCCGAUUACACCUAGGGGUCAUACAAUAUUGACCUGGGUUGCUGACUUGCUGCAUCUGGACACGGGGAGAUGGGAUGAAGACCUGGUACGUGAUGUAUUCUGGGAGGAGGACGUGCGAUAUAUAUUCACAACACCAACCAAUCCAAAUCAUGAGGAUGUUUUAGCUUGGCAUUUUGACAAUAAAGGUCAGUUUUCGGUGAAGUCUGCCUAUCAUGUCUUGGAUGAUGAGAAGAAUCGGGAGAAAACUCGACAGCAAGGAGAGGGGAGUAGCAGCGCCAAUUCUGGGAACCAGAGAAACGCCAUUUGGCGCAAAAUUUGGAAACUUCCAUGCUAGCCCAAAGUGUGGCAUUUCCUUUGGAGAGUAGCGCGAAAUAGCCUUGCACUAAUGAUGAAUAUCCAGAGAAGGGGUGUGAAGCUCGACAUAAGAUGUCCAAUGUGUCAUCGAUUGGAUGAAGAUGGAGGGCAUUGUUUUCUAAAAUGCAAGCUGGUGAGACGAUGUUGGUCUUGCCUUUCACUUGAGCCGGUUCGUCAACAUCUAUUACUCAAGCAAUCGGCAUGGGAGGUGGUGACUGAAAUAUUGGCUUUGAAGGAAGAAGUCCAAAUCAAAACUGUGUUACUUCUCUAGAAGUGGUGGAGUGUGAGAAAUAAAAUUAACAAAGGAGAGAAGGGCCAGACUGGAGAGGAAGUUGCUGCUGAUGUGCUAAACUUGAUGUGUGAUCUGAGGGAGUUGGAGAUAAAGUCGGUACGGGAGGUGAUUAGGAGUGCUGGUUGGAAGGCUCCACCGCCUGGACAGCUCAAGAUCAAUUCAGAUGGAUCAUUUAUCCAGGAGACGUUACAAGGGAGCUGGGGCUUCAUUAUCCGUGACCAUGAGGGCGACGGGGUACUUGCAGGAGCUGGUCGCCUGGGAUCAAUCCCAGAUGCAUUGACAACAGAGGCAGCAACAUGUGCUCAGGCAUUGCAAGCAGCUACAGAUUAUGGUAUAUCGCACGUACAAGUGGAGGUGGACUCAACUGCUCUUCAGCAAGCUCUCCAAUCAUCGUCCAUGGAUCUUGUCACUUGUGGAAUGUUGCUCAUUGACACUCGUUCUUUGCUUUGUGAGCAUUUUGUAUGCGGUAAAAUUCUCUCUAUUCCUAGAGCUUGUAAUGGAUUAGCACAUAACUUAGCCAAGCUUGCUAUGUGUUGGGACCCGGGCAAUUACCAUGUUUGGGCAAGCCCCCUCCCAGAAUUUGUAAAAUCUUUGAUUGCUCACGAUGGCGUCGAGCCUAUGUUUUUAAUGACAGGGCCAUAGAGCCAGGUUAUGAAUAAAAAAAAGAAACAAUUCACAGUGGCAUUCACCAAUGUUAAUUUCCAUUGGUUAAGCUGUGCUAUAACGAUUCAUAGAGUCACCCGAUCCCACUCCAUACAAUGAACUUAACACCCAUAACCUACUGCAAACGAAUCAUGUCACUGACAGUGUUACCUCACAAGAGCCAAACAAUCAAAUUGUUUGAUAACUUUUUUCAGGGUACCACAACACUCAUUUCGUUCCAUUUAUGUUUGCAUUGGCACUUCACUUACCAAACAACACCGUAAUAUCUAUCCCAGUUGAUCAUAGCAAAUUCCUAAAGUUAUGAUCGAUACAUGUGGAUCUAAAUCAUUUUCAAGUAAAACCAUCGACGAACGAGCCAUAGUGAGACUUAACGAGAAAAGCUCAAUUGUUCCAAUAGUACAAAAAGAUGUUCUCAAUUUGGAUAGAACAAGUUUUUAAGAGUUCUUUGGAAUUAUGUGAUGAUACCACAAAAAAUGGCACAUGGAAAUAGUAACUUUUAGUGGUAAGUCAUGAAAGCUAAGGGAAGGUGGGAGCAGAUAGUUACAAAUAGAAGAUCAUAAACAAGGGGAAAGUUUAAUUUCCUAACACAUCAGACAAAAGGAACCCCAUGGACAUAUUGAGAAUGUAAGCUCCAAGUAAGAAUAUCUGGCAUAAGGAGAGGACAAUAUGAUGAAACAAAGGAUAUGGAGAAGAAUUUGGAAGAUCGAUGAGGCCAAGGUCCAUAAAUUUAAUGACAUCGAAUGUGAAGUACAGGAAUGGUAUAUGUAUUGCUACAAUGCUACACCUAGUUAUGAAUUGUGGCAUAUAAAAAACACUCAUGUAUGGUCCAUCUAGCGUGGUGCUUCCCUAUAGGUAGAGUUUUUGUCUUCCCCUAAAAUGUAGUACUGGUGAACUGGUGGCCGAUCAACAUGGAUCAUUAAGAAUGUUGUAGACGAUGUUGUAGUGAAAGCUUUGCAUAUCGAGGCCUUAGGGGUUGUACUUGAUACCUUCUAGUUGAGUCACGGAGGUGUCACAAAUUAAAAUAGGUAUGGUUAUUGUAAGUUUUUGGCUCAAAACUCAAGAGACUACACCUUGUGUACAUUUCUAAGCUAUUCCUCAAAGGAUCCAAGACCACAAGGGUAUGUUCCAUUAUGUGCUAUAGCGCAUCAAUCAUAUUUUUAGGAACAUAUAUAUAUAUAUAUAUAUAUAUAUAUAUAUAUAUAUAUAUAUAUAUAUAUAUAUAUAUAUAUAUAUAUAUAUAUAUAUAUAUAUAUAUAUAUAUAACGAUGCCAUAAAAUAGGAAAAAAUAGCAUGUUCAAGUUCUUGGAACAAUGAACAAAAGAUUUGUGAUGAACACCCACAUUCUUUUGCAAUAAGAUUCCUUUAACUCAAACCACAAGUAAUGAAGAACCAAGUGAAUGAAGAAUAAACAAAGGACAAUACAACAUAGAGUGAGUUGGAAAGGGUGCUUGGUGCACUCUACAAAAUUUCUUUUGCGUGGCCUUACCAUUUUUUGAUUGGAGGCGGGCACACCUCCCGACCACCUCCAUUGUUCCAAGCCAGGUCACCCUCCCAAAGGCCCCCUUGGUUAAACUUUAACGGAGGUAGUUCGUAUCCUCGAUUAACCAGGUGGUUGCAUAAUAACAACCACCUUCCAUUAAUCCAUUAACAAAGGUGGUUGUCUUAAGGUGUCUGUUUCUGUUAAUGAAUUAACGGAGGUGGUCAUUAUAAAAUAACCACCUCCAUUAAUGAAUUCAUGUGUACCAUGUCAAUGAUCCAUUAGCAAGGCUGGUGGCCACUCGUAGCCUUCCACGUGUUUGAGGGGUCCACUCGUCAUAGGCACAAAAGAAGCACAAACCAAAGGAGGCGGUGACACACGGUCUCUCUCUCUCUAUGAGCCAUGGCCUAUCUCUUUCUCAUGCCUUCCUCUGCUCCCUCACUGCUCCUUCUCUCUAUGUGGCAACGAAGCCGGCGGCCACAAAGGCCUCCCUCUCUAUUCCCUCUCUCUCUCUCUACAUGGCAACGAUGAUUGCAGUGAGGAGGAGACAAGCCGGAUCCGGUGGAGGGCAGCCAGAUUUGAUGGAGGCUAGCCCGAUCAGGUGAAGGAAAGCGCCGACGUCGCCGAUGGGCAGGUACAGUCUCCUCAUCUCUCUCUAUCUUCCUCUCUUUAUCUCCCUCACUCACUCUUCCCUCUCCCCUUUUGCAGAUCUAGUGCUGGCUGGAGCCGCACAGACGAUAGCGGCGAUAGGUGGAACCCUAGGAACCGGCACGAGCGAGGACGACUGAGGUGGCAAGAAAGAGGACGGUGGCACAUGAGCGACCUUCACGAUGUCGACGGUAGCCGUCACAGACCAUGGAAAGGAUGACUUAGAUGAUGGAGGCUCCAGAAACUGAAGCUAGCUAGCUCCAGGACCUAGAUUUUUUUAUUUUUUUGUUAACCGUGGCGGGCCUAGUCUUGUGACCGCCUCCAUUAAAGACCUAUUAAUAGAGGCGGUUGCCUUAUAGCGCCAGCCUCUAUUAAUGUUUUAAUAGAGGGGGGCAGGGGCAACCGCCUCCAUUAAGUCAUAAUUAACCGUGACCUAUCGUUGGAGACGAUUGCCCCAGCCCGCCUCCAUUAACGAAAAACAACCGCCUCCAAUAAAAAAAAUCUCUAGUAGUGGUGUAUACUUCUGUUGGAUAUAUUUGAUCUAGUGUGCUAAUAAUAUAUUUGUUAGUGACUUCUAUGUAUACCUAUUACAAGUUAUUUUGCAUGUUAUAUGUAUCAAAAGUUCCAAACAAUAGUUCAUAGGCACAUGUCAUUUUCAUUUAUCUAGCAGUUUAAGAAUUAAAUACAAAACCCUAUCACUUUCAUUCUAAUUCAUUUUCAUUAUUUGCAAAGGUGUAAUUCUCUUAAGGGACAACAACAUGUGUAUUAGGUGCUCAAUUAGAUCUAACAAAAUCUCGAUGCUGUUUUUGGGUGUGACAUGUGGUUGCAGGGACAAGAUGGUUCAAGCUUUGUCAGUUUCCCCGAGUAAAUAUUUAUGUCAUUCUAAAAAUGGCGAGUUAGUUUACAUCAAAGGUUUUAGAACACGUAUGAUGAUAUGCGGCAUUGGAGAGCAAUAAGUGCACCUUAUUGUUGCCCAAACAUAGUUCAUCUACUUGCAUGAAUGUUGUUCUCACAUGUACAAUAAUAUAAUUGCACAUUAAGUGGCCAAAGAUCAAUUUAGGUGUUGGUCUUUGUGUGUGCAUAAUUCCGAUAAUUCUAUCUACAUGAACAAUUGUCAUACAAAGUCAGGUUAAUUUAUCUAAUGACAAUGAAUUUAAAUUUUUUUUAUAUUUCCAUGAUAGAAAUAGUGUUUUUAAACUGUUAUAUAUAAUUCAAAGUGAACAUUACAACUAAGAUUACCAUCAAUCCCACUAUGCAUAGUCGCAUGGCUGGUCCCACCUAACACAACACACAAUUUUGGAUAUUAUACCAACAUGAUGAUGUUUGUGUGUGUGGUAAUGCUCAAUUAAUCAAGCAUCACACUAUAAGGACGAUUUAUAUCUUCUUACUCUCAAUCUUAGGGCAAAAUAAUUAUCGGGCACAUUUGGAGACUAGUAACACAUUAGAAUCUAGAAAUAUAUAAUUUAUUAUUUCUGAGAAGCCUCAGACAUCAGCCUAAAAACUUCAUUAUUGAAUUACAACUAGUAAGCAAUCUAAAAGAGGGCACCACCAAUGAAGGGUUGUUGGCAGGACGUUGCUGGGUUCGCCAGAGCAAGCUGGAUGAAUGGCAACAACUGUUGUUGUUGAAAGAGGGUGGCGGCAUUAGCCACACCCUGCGGGUAGAACGGCAGCAGCUGUUGUUGUGGCCAGAAGGUGGCAGGACUCACAGCACCUAGCUGGCUGAAUUGUAGUAGUAGUUGUAGCUGCAAAUAGGCAGCAGGGUUCACUGCAGCUAGUUGGUUGAAUGGGAGCAACUGUUGUAGUUGUAAGAGGGUGGCGGCGUUAGCCACACCCUGCGGGUAGAACGGCAGCAGCUGUUGUUGUGGCCAGAAGGCGGCAGGGCUCGCAGCAGCUAGCUGGCUGAAUUGUUGUAGUUGUUGCAGCUGCAAAUAGGCAGCGGGGUUCACUGCAGCCAGUUGGCUGAAUGGAAUAAACUGCUGUUGCUGGGAGUACGCAGCAAGGUUUGCCAACGUUACUUGGUUGAUCGAAGGUAGCACCAGUUGCUGCAGUUGUUGUGCCCUGAUGCUUUGUGCCAACAAAUUCACCAAGGACAACUGCUGCAAUAGGGCCGAUGGUUGUUGGAUGAACAAGGGUGAUGACUGUAAGAUGCUUGCUGCGAUUGCCUGUUGGAGCCCAUAGGGUUGUAGCAUUGGGUUUGCGCACACUGGUGGGAGGUAUGCGGGAUGAGGGGCAGCUAUAGAAAUUUGUGAGCAGUGCGGUUGCGGGAUAUAGGUCGCGGUAGCAGCACUUGCAAAAAGAGCAAGGAGCAUAAUGAGGGAAAAUAUCUUGGCCGCCAUUGUUGCUAUGUUGCUAGUGUAUUCCACUUUCUAUGUUGCUAGUUGGUCUCAAUAAUAUGGGUGAUGGAUUACCUACUGAUCUGGGGGGUAUUUAUACUCAUGUUAAGCCUUGUGGUUGUGCAAGAUUUAUUUUGGCUUUUACCAAAAAACAUAAUAGUAAGAUAAGCUAGAGAUGACGUGGUAUCUAGUUGGUUUUGACAUUUAGUUGCCACUUUGUUGGGUUAUACUUUAUACAUCUGCAAUACAAUCUCCACAAAAUACACUAAAUAAGUGGUUUUGUCCUCUUGGUAUUUUCCAAAUACUUGGGUGACAAUGGCUCGAUCCAUUCACCUUUACACAUGUGUAGCCUUAGCCACAUAUGUGCGGCUUGGUUAGGCUAUUUUGCACCAGAAAAAAAAUUCAUGGUGGUAUUCACCAAUGUUAAUUUGCAUUUGGUUAUUUUGUGCUAUAAUCGGUUCAAGGAGUCACUCGUUCCAUGUCGUACAAUGCGGUUACCACCCAUAACCUACCACAAAUGGAUCAUGUCAACGGCAGUGUUACCUCACAAGAACCAAACAAUCAAAGUAUUUGGGGAACAACAAUAUUCAUUUCCAUUUCACUUUUAUUGACACUCCACUAACCAAACAACACCAUAAUAUCUAUUCCACUUGAUUAUAGUCAAUACCUAAAGAUUGACAAAUACCUAAGUCAUUUUCAACUAACACUAUUACAGAAAGAUCAGCACAACCAGUUUGGAAACCUGCAUCGCCGCCACUUCCAGCACUCGGCAGUGAAUUAUCGACAGUGAUGGCCAUGGUAAUCAUGUCCAGUUAGUAAUUAGUGGUGGUUAUAUGCUAUCACCACCAUUUUGGAGUUCAAUCUAGCUGCGAUAACAUCAAUAUCAUCGCUGAGUUUAUUUUUUGUUCAGGCGUUGAAGAUCCUACAAAUGUUGUCGGGUUUAUAACAAAAUCCAACAAUGAUGGUCAUUUGGUCACCAUCGGUCAGUUGUACACACCGGCAAUGUUGAGAGUUCCUACACCACUGAUCAGUGCUGCAGUCUAUAUAUGACAAGCGUUGAUCACCACAGGUCAGUGGUCACUGUCGGCAGUGAUGAUCAAUUGAUCGACAUCUGUUCAAUUCAUACCCGAUGAUGAUCACUACUACAUCACCAAUGGUAGCUUGAGCUGGUGUCGAUGGCCUUCAUUGAUGGAAUGAUAUUGCAUCUGUGUUUUCACAUUUAUGAAAAAUUCUACUUAAUUAACUCCCUCAACUAUUGUGUGUUAUAUAUCGUGCAGUGUUUGAAGCAACCUUGAUAGGGAGUGCUAUAUGUCUAUUUAUGUUUUAACUUUGUAUGAAUUUUAAGACCCCUAAUUUAUGUUAGGAUAACCAUGUCAUAUAUAAUAUAUAAGUUAACAUUGGUUAUAAUAUGAUAGUGUACAAUAUAAUUAAACUUGUGUCAAAUUAAAUUUGAAAAUACAACAUUGAUAGACUUUUUUCUUCCACUGCAAAGCAAAGGAAUACUUAGAUGUAAAUAUAUCGUAACUAUAAAAAAUGUAUUGUCAGUUAUGAGAUUUGCAUCAAGUAUAGAGGGUCUUGAGUAAUGCUAAUACUAAUAUUAGUAUUAGUUAUAGAUAUAGACAAAUUAAUAAUAAUUAAUUAUAUUAAUUAUUACAUACAGGUUAGAUCCAAAUUUUAUCCUGUUGACGCCAUUUUUGGUAACGAGUCAAGGUAAUCAAAAUGGACCUAUUGGCAGUAAAGAGAUUAUUGCAUUAUGCCGAUAGGAGAGGUGCCGAUGAAGAUCGGCUGAUAGAGAUUGUUGCCGAUGGAAGGUCAUGAUCGGUGGAAAGGUUGUCUUUUAAAUUGAAUUAAAGAGUGUUGAUCAGAGAUGGUGUUUGCCAAUGUCGAUUCAGGGGUCAUUGCCGAUGAAGCCUGUAAUGAUUCAUUGCCGAUGUCGAUGAAGGAGGACAUGAAGACUGCUGCUGAUGAAGCUUGAAAUAACAGGGAACAUGCCGAUGGAGCAGGAGCCGAUGGAGAUUUCAUCGUGAUUGAGGCGGACACGAGAGUAGAUAGAUGUUAUUUUCUAUUUUUUAUAUUUGUUAGGGUAUACCUUACGUAAGAAUCCUGUUUUAUCUUAAAGUCGGAUCCUAGUCGUGUUUGGUUGUAUCUCUUUAGGACAGGGUAUAAAUAUAGACCAGAGGGCAAUGUAAUGAGACAAUCAAUCAAUAUCAAAUCCAAGUUUACUCCUACUUUUGCAUGUACUUACUUUUCGACGACUUCGUCAAUUCACAUAUUUUCUUUUUACGAGUUCUCUUGGUUCGGCGAGUUGCAUUGUUCUAGCGCAAAUCUCGACGAUCCUCGAGUUCCGUGUGAGUACCUCUUGACCGUGACUUUCGGGCGCAUCACUGUUGUCGGGACCAAAGUACUUGAGUUAGACCAAAGUACUUGAGUUAUCAUCCUUAUCGAUUAACAGGUCAAAUCGACUGACACGUCUAGGAUAUCGGAUUGGGUUUUGUGUUUGCAGAUUCACUUUUGCAUCAACAGAUCCCAUUUUCUUCCACAUGUUUUGCAAUCCAUCUUCGGUCUUUUUUCGAUCAUACUUUGGUUGUCAGCAGGACGUGAGUUCGAGUCAUACACGGGAUAAUUAAACCAAUUAUAACUCUAAUCUCUAGUAUAGUUAAACCAACUAGGACUAGUAUAUUCUGAAAAGUGGAAGGACACACAAUAGGAAGAGAAUGUGACAGACGACCAAAAUUUUGUAGAAAACUUUUUCACUCCUUAUAUUAGAUCUCUGUUCCAAACGCUAUGCUAUAAGGUUGGCUCGGGAAUGUAAUCUCCUAGUCUUGUAGGUAGAUUUGUGGCAUGGUGGACACUGCCCCAUAGAGCCCCCACGGCCCACAGAACACAGACACCAGCUUGCCGCAUUCUAUUAAGAUUCCUUGACGCUCGGGAGUAGACAUAGUACAUGAUUAGACCUUAAUAUUCUCACCAAUGUUAAUUUCUGUUUGCUUAAUUUGUGCUAUAGUCAGUUGAAGGAGUCACUCGUUCCUGUGCCAUUCGUUCCUAUGCCAUACAAUGCGAUUACCACCUGCAACCUACCACAAAUGGAUCAUGUCGACGGUAAUGUUAACUCACAAGAACAAAACAAUCAAAGUAUUUCUAAAAAUGGUGAGUUAUUUUACAUCAAAGGUCUGCACUGGAGAGCAAUAAGUGCACCUUAUUGUUGGAAAAAAAGUUCCAUCUACUUGCAUGAAUGCUGUUCUCACAUGUACUAUAAUAGAAUUACAUAUUAGUGGCCAAUGAUCAAUUUAGGCAUUGGUCUUUGUAUGUGCACAAUUCCCAUAAUUCUAUCUACAUGAGCAGUUGUCAUACAAAUUAAGUCAGGUUAAUUUUUCUAAUGCUGAUGAAUUUAAAGUUUUUUAUAUUUCCAUGAUAGAAAUAGUGUUUUUGAUACUUUUUUCUAUAAUUCAAAGCCAAUAUUACAAUUAAGAUUACCAUCAAUCCCACUAUGCACAUUCGGAAUGGCUAGUCCCACAUAACACAGUAUGCAUUUUUGCAAGAUUAUACCAACAUGAUGAUGUUUAUGUGUGGUAAUGCUCAAUUAAUCAAGCAUCACACUAUAAGGUUGAUUUAUAUCUCCUUACUCUCAAUCUUAGUGCAAAAUAAUUAUCGAACACACCAGGAGACAAGUAAGACAUUAGAAUACGGAAGCAUAAUUUAUUAUUUCUGAGAAGCCUCAGACAUGAUAGCCUAAAAACUUCAUUAUUGAACUACAACUAGUAAGAAAUCUAAAAGAGGGCACCACCAAUGAAGGGCUGUUGGCAGGACGUUGCUGGGUUCGCCAGAGCAAGCUGGAUGAAUGGCAGCAACUGUUGUUGCUGAAAGAGGGUGGCGGCAUUAGCCACACCCUGCGGGUAGAAUCGCAGUAGCUGUUGUUGUGGCCAGAAGGUGGCAGGACUCACAGCACCUAGCCGGCUGAAUUGUAGUAGUUGUUGCAGCUGCAAAUAAGCAGCAGGGUUCACUGCAGCCAGUUGGUUGAAUGAGAGCAACUGUUGUAGUUGUAAGAGGGUGGCGGCGUUAGCCACACCCUGCGGGUAGAACGGCAACAGCUGUUGUUGUGGCCAGAAGGCGGCAGGGCUCGCAGCAGCUAGCUGGCUGAAUUGUUGUAGUUGUUGCAGCUGCAAAUAGGCAGCGGGGUUCACUGCAGCCAGUUGGCUGAAUGGAAUAAACUGCUGUUGCUGGGAGUACGCAGCAAGGUUUGCCACCGUUACUUGGUGGAUCGAAGGUAGCACCAGUUGCUGCAGUUGUUGUGCCCUGAUGCUUUGUGCCAACAAAUUCACCAAGGACAACUGCUGCAAUAGGGCCGAUGGUUGUUGGAUGAACAAGGGUGAUGACUGUAAGAUGCUUGCUGCGAUUGCCUGUUGGAGCCCAUAGGGUUGUAGCAUUGGGUUUGCGCACACUGGUGGGAGGUAUGCGGGAUGAGGGGCAGCUAUAGAAAUUUGUGAGCAGUGCGGUUGCGGGAUAUAGGUCGCGGUAGCAGCACUUGCAAAAAGAGCAAGGAGCAUAACGAGGGAAAAUAUCUUGGCCGCCAUUGUUGCUAUGUUGCUAGUGUAUUCCACUUUCUAGGUUGCUAGUUGGUCUCAAUAAUAUGGGUGAUGGAUUACCUACUGAUCUGGGGGGUAUUUAUACUCAUGUUAAGC